UGUUGCUGUUGCUGUUGCUGUUGCUGUUGCUGUUGCUGUUGCUGUUGCUGUUGCUGUUGCUGUUGCUGUUGUUGUUGCUGUUGUUGUUGUUGUUGUUGUUGUUGUUGUUGUUGUUGUUGUUGUUGUUGUUGUUGUUGUUGUUGUUGUUGUUGUUGUUGUUGUUGUUGUUGUUGUUGUUGUUGUUGUUGUUCUUGUUGUUGUUGUUGUUCUUGUUGUUGUUGUUGUUGUUCUGGUUCUGAAUAAGCAUCUGCAUAAGAGCAUUCUGUUGCUGGAUCAAUUGCGUAAGCUUCGGUGGAAAGUUGAAUCCGGGGUCACGUCUUGAAUCCGGGGUCACGUCUUGGUUACUAGUGGUGCACCACCAUGGAUUUUCCCAUGCAUGCCCCACUAUACUUCGCCACCAUUCCCACAAGUUUCCGCCCAGGUAGUUCAUUAAUUAACUUAGGUCCUAUUUUCUACAUGUCACUCAAACUUUACAAUGAUCACUCCCCAAUCCACGUCUACUUAGCGUAGCAACAUAAUGUAAAAUGAUGGCGACAAUGUUAUAUGGUUUAGACCUACCUCAAUGAACUACUAGGUGAGAAGCAUAGUCAUGCGGCAAUAGUUUCCUACCAUGCAGUCCUACCGCAAAGAACUAAGUGCAUAAUAAAAACAUAGGUAAUGAAACAUGAUCAAGAUGCAACUUACCUUGGUACUGUUGGUUGAAUUCUAAAGACUGAUAAUAUUCUGCUUCGCACUCCGGGCAAUCUAUCGCAAAGAGGACGGUGUGGGAGGUUGAGGACGGCCUGGCGGGUGGGGCCCGCCUGGCAGUGGCAGCGAGAGGAGGCGAGAGAGGGCGGGCGCGGGCGAUCGACCGGUGCGAGAGGUUUUCGGGCAUGCGGGCGCUGGGGCGCUGGCCUUGGGCCAAAAUGGCUAGCUGGGCCGGUCGGGCGCUCCUGGGCCGAACCCAAUUUCGGUCCAGGUUGCGUGUGUGUGUGUGUGUGUUUAACAGGAGACUAAAGUGGCCCAUAACUAAUUCAAUUGAAUUAAUAAAAACACCAAAUUAAUUUCUAAAAUAACUAUAUAAUAUUUAGAGCCUAAUGAACAUUAACUUAAGCACAAAAAAUUUUGAAAAUAAUUUCCUAAUGCAAUUAAUGCACUUUUUGCAAAUAAAAUAUAUACCAAUCAACUCCAAAACUUAAAGUAAUAUUCAAAAUAAAAUUGCCCACUCUUUUUAUAUUUUGAGGAAGUCAUCUUAUCCCCUCUCAUUUGUUUUUCCCGAGUGGAAAACUAUUAUUUGAAUAUUUCAAAAACUCCAAAAUGCAAAGAAAUAUGAUAUGCAUUGAAUGAUUCUAUUAACAUCCAAAUUUAAUAAAAUUGGGAUGUUACAAGAAACAUAUACAAGUGCUAUAUUUCCUAGUUCUUAAUCAUGCUUGGUUUGGAUAAUUGGGUUUUCCAUGUGGCUUGAAUUAAUCUAAUGAAUCUGCAAUGUGCUUAUUUUUCAUCAAUAUAUUUUACUCAUAGCAUGCGAACCCUUAUUAACCUGAUGACUAACUACGUUAUAUGUGUUGCAAGGAAACAAUGGGAAGCACUGAGGUUUACAAGAUGGACUAACUAUCAUACCUUGCCUUUUUUAUUCCUUUGCCCCAUUUCCAAUAUAGAGAAGAUAUUUAUGCACAUCCUUGUUUUCAGGGUUCACUAAUGAUUACCUCUCAAACCACCUCUGUGGUCAGGAUGCGGGGAAAGUUGUCAUACAACACCCACGGUUCAAUAUUGAAGUGUUCCUGAAGAGGUCAAAUGAUGGAUGGUCAAUCAUCCAUAGGCACUGGCCUAAAGUUGCAAAGACCUUCAACAUGAAUGAAGGUUCAAUAUUCUCCUUCCGCUUCAGCAGUUUUCUAGAUGAGAUGCAUCUCUCUAUGUACUGUCUAUGAUGCUAAUUUCGAAAGGUUCUAGAUGUUGCAUGUGAAACUUGCUGCUGGUGCAGUUGUGUAAUGGGGUAGCUGAGUGCUGAAGCUAUAUCAUGUUGUACUCUGAUGUAUUUCAAUUAUGAAAUCCUGCUUCCUUAAUAUGGAAAUGCAAUAUAUUAUGUGCUUAAUAUGAAUGUUAAUUAGAUUAGUAAAUGGAUUAUUAAUAAUAGGCAAAUUAGCCCGCUAAUUGGCCAAUUAGCUUGCUAAUUGGGUUUUCUUAUUGCAAACGGUUAAUGAGAAAACACCGUGGGCGAUGACCUAAGGUAAUGCACACAGUUUCUAGGAAUAAACCAUGUUGGAUCAAUGAACAAUCACACACGACAUUCUCUUCAAAACUGUUUGCGUUACGCCACCUUGCGCAAAUGUUUUCCUUGUAGUGACUAUGUGGGAUGUAUAUACGAAUAGAAACGUUUAGUGGUGACUGACUGUGUGGGAUAUACUUAUGACCAGAAAUGAUUUGCUUGUAUAAUUGUAUUUUUUAGCACCACUAUACGUAUUUCUGUAUUUGAGUGCUCGCCGGUCGCACACGACCUCAUUUUGCCGAGCGUGUGUGCCAGGAGGGCAUAUCCCCAACGGUUUCUGGGUCGUGUGGGAAGGAUCCCCCCAUCGCCCACACUCACUUGGUGACGGUUUCAAAUGCCGUCGCGGGAAGGGGUAAAAAACCGUUUGUUUAGGACCGAUGCGUACUAGUGAAGGUGGGUAAGGUGGACUCUCAUGGCAAAACUGGUUUAAGGGAUGUUUGGAUGCACAAGUAGUAUCUCUACUUGGUGCAAAGGACUUGGCUAGAAUAAGAGGGAAAAGCAAGCUCAAAAUGUUGGAGGAUCCAUGACAAUAUAACUUCUGUUCGGAUAUAAGAAAACAUAACCCAUUAUGUUGUCUUCCUUGUCCAACAUCAACCUUUUAGCAUGUCAUAUUUUAUUGAGUGCUCACAAUAACAAAAUAUGUCUGAGAUAGUAUAUUUAUAUGUGAAACCUCUGUUUCUUUAUUACUUCCUAUUAAUUGCAAAAUGACCAAAACUAUGUUUGUCAACUCUCAACAAAUUUUAUUCAUCAUACUCUUUAUAUGUGAAGCCAUCACUCUCCAUAAGAUAAUUAUAUGAUCUUUUUAUUCUUUCUCUUAUUUUAUUCCCUCAAGAUCAUAGCAAGAAAGCAAGACCCUCAACUCAAAACUACUCUUUAUUAUAUAUAACUCACGGACUCGAUUACAUAGAUAGAUCUCAAAGCAAAACUCAAAACUAGAUCAUACUAAAGACUUUAUUCUACUAGAUCAAGAUAUAACCAAAAUGAUCGAACUAAGAAAAACGAUAAAGGUAAAGGUGUGAUGGUGAUACGAUACCGGGGCACCUCCCCCAAGCUUCGCAGUUGCCAAGGGGAGUGCCCAUACCCAUGUAUUUAGGUCUCUUCCUUCGGAGGUGGUGAUGAUGGAGUUGAUGAUGUAUCCUCCAGCUUUAUUAAGGAACUUUUCAGUAGUUGAAAUUCUUGGAGCACACGUUGGAGCAUAUUUGCAUUCUUCUGGAUUUCCUCCAAAAGAUGCUUAUUUUCAGGCCACCAAGAACCUUUUCCUGCAUUGCUUUCACUUGGACGGGAUAUGUCCCAAUUGGAGGGUAUAUGUGCACAGUGCACGGGGGGUAUUCUCCACUCCGUAAUUAUGAACCAAAUUAUGAAAGUUAUUCCGAUGUAACAUGUGUAAGGACCUCCUAGGGGGAAGCCCCUCUCGCACCUCUUGGCCUUCAUGGUUGUUUGUGAGUACCUCUCUCCAAAGCCAAAGGCUGUUCCCCAAGCGAAUCUCCUUCAUCCUCCCCCAUCAUGGCUCCCUCGCAUCCUCCCUUGUAAGUUCCAUCUGCAUCAACCAAGCAUCACCGUCCGGCGUUGGUGGAGGAGGAGGACGACAUGAUGCCUGGCCUUGAAAACUCUGACAAAAACAACUCAAAACAAAAACAGGGGAUAUUGCUAUGGUACAGUGGUCAAAACCUUCGGGAGAUUAUAUAAUGAAUUUUUACCGACCAAAAGAAGUAUUGUGCAAGAAAACAGAGUCCGAAGGGCACACGAGGUGGAUACAAGGCAUAGGGGUGCGCCUAGGGGGGUAGGGCGUGCCCCCUGCCUUGCCGAUUCCUCAUGCACUCUUCAGACUACUUUUAAUUUUCCUAAUUUUUAAAUAUUCCAAAACAUAGAAAAUUUGCCAUUAGAACAGUUUUGGAGUCAGUUUACUAACCGUACCACAUACCUAUUCCUUUUCGGAGUCUGAAACAUUCUGGAAAGUAUCCCUUAUGUACUACUCCGGUGUUAUGGUAUUAAUAAUAUCUAUCUCAACAUUUAUGGGAGUACCUGAAAUAUAAUGUUUGAUCCUUUGACCGUUUACCACCUUCGGGUUAGUGCUUUCGGCAUUGUUGAUCUUGAUGGCACCGAAAUGAUCCACCUCCUCGAUAAUGUAAGGACCUUCCCAUUUUGAGAGAAGCUUUCCUGCAAAAAAUCUUAAACGAGAGUUGUAUAGUAAAACAUGAUCACCUACAUUAAACUCACGCUUUUGUAUUCUUUUGGCAUGCCAUCUUUUAACCUUUUCUUUAAACAACUUAGCAUUUUCAUAGGCUUGGGUUUUCCAUUCAUCAAGUGAGCUUAUGUCAAAUAACCUCUUCUCACCGGCAUGUUUGAAAUCAUAGUUGAGCUCUUUGAUUUCCCAAUAAGCUUUAUGUUCUAGUUCAAGAGGUAAGUGACAUGCUUUUCCAUAAACCAUUUUAUAUGGAGACAUACCCAUAGGGUUUUUAUAAGCAGUUCUAUAAGCCCAUAAUGCAUCAUCAAGUUUCUUAGACCAAUUAUUUCUAGAUCUAUUAAUAGUCUGUUGCAAAAUCAAUUUAAUCUCUCUAUUGCUCAAUUCUACUUGACCACGACCGAGGGUGAUAUGGGGAUGCAAUUCUAUGGUUGACAUCAUAUUUAGCAAACAUUUUACGGAAAGCACCAUGAAUAAAAUGUGAACCACCAUCAGUCAUUAAAUAUCUAGGGACUCCAAACCUCGGAAAAAUAACUUCUUUAAGCAUCUUAAUAGAAGUGUUAUGAUCAGCACUACUAGUUGGAAUAGCUUCUACCCACUUAGUAAUGUAAUCAACAACAACUAAAGUAUGUGUAUACCCAUUAGAGGAAGGAAAAGGUCCCAUAUAAUCAAAGCCCCAAAACGUCAAAUGGUUCAAUAACAAGUGAAUAAUUCGUAGGCAUUUCCCGACGUCUACUAAUAUUGCCAAUUCUCUGGCAUUCAUCACAAGACAAGAAAAACUUAUGAGCAUCCUUGAAGAGAGUAGGCCAAUAAAAACCAGAUUGUAAUACCGUGUGUGCAGUUCUAUCUCUAGCAUGGUGUUCUCCGUAGGUCUCAGAGUGACACUUGAGUAGGAUCUGUUCCUAUUCAUGCUCAGGUACACAACGUCUAAUAACACCAUCUACUCCUUCUUUAUAAAGGCGUGGGUCAUCCAAAAAGUAAUGUCUUAAAUCAUAGAAAACCUUUUUCUUUUGCUGGUAUGUGAAACUAGGUGGUAUAAAUUUAGCAACAAUGUAAUUAGCAUAAUCAACAUACCAUGGACUAUUAUGAGAAGCAUUUAUGAUAGCUAAUUGCUCAUCAGGAAAGCAAUCAUCAAUAUAUAGUGGGUCAUCAAGAACAUUUUCUAACCUAGACAAGUUGUCUGCAACGGGGUUCUCAGCUCCCUUUCUAUCAAUAAUGUGCAAGUCAAAUUCUUACAGCAAGAGAACCCAUCUAAUAAGUCUAGGUUUAGCAUCUUUCUUUUCCAUAAGGUAUUUAAUAGCAGCAUGAUCACUGUGAACAGUUACUUUGGAAUCAACAAUAUAAGGUGUGAACUUAUCACAGGCAAAUACAACUGCUAAAAAUUCUUUUUCAGUAGUAGCAUAAUUUCUCUAGGCACUGUCUAGAGUUUUACUAGCAUAAUGAAUAACAUUCAAUUUUUUAUCAACUCUCUGUCCUAGAGUAGCACCAACAUCAUAAUCACUAGCAUCAGACAUAAUUUCAAAUGGUAAAUUCCAACCAGGUGGUUGAACAAUAGGUGCAAAAAUCGAGGCUUUCUUAAGUAUUUCAAAUGCUUCUACACAAUCAUCAUCAAAAACAAAAGGAACAUCUUUUUGCAAGAGAUUAGUGAGAGACCUAGAAAUUUUAGAGAAGUCUUUAAUAAACCUCCUAUAGAAACCAGCAUGACCAAGGAAACUUCUUAUACCUUUGAUAUCUUUAGGACACAACAUCUUUUCAAUAGCGUCUACUUUAGCUUUAUCAACUUCAAUACCUCUUUCAGAAAUUUUAUGCCCUAAGACAAUGCCUUCAUUAACCAUAAAGUGGCACUUCUCCCAAUUCAAAACAAGAUUAGUUUCUUCAUAUCUCUGCAAAACUCGAUCAAGGUUGCUUAAGCAAUCAUCAAAAGAAGUUCCGUAAACGGAGAAAUCAUCCAUGAAAACCUCAACAAUCUUUUCAUAGAAGUCAGAGAAAAUAGUAGUCAUACAUCUUUGAAAGGUAGCGGGUGCAUUGCAUAAACCAGAAGGCAUAUGUAUAUAAGAGAAAGUACCGAAAGGGAAGGUCAAAGUUGUCUUUUCUUGAUCCUCUUUUGACACAGGUAUUUGAGAAAAACCAGAAUAACCAUCUAGAAAGCAAAAAUGUGUAUGUUUGGAUAUUCUUUCUAGGAUUUGAUCAAUAAAAGGUAGAGGGUAAUGAUAUUUCCUAGUAGCUUUGUUUAAUUUGUGAAAAUCAAUUACCAUUCUAUAACCUAUAACAAUUCUUUGAGGGAUCAAUUCAUUCUUAUCAUUAGGAACAACAGUAAUACCUCCCUUCUUAGGGGCACAAUGAACAAGACUUACCCAUCUACUAUCAGCAAUAGGAUAAAUUAUACCUGCCUCCAGAAGCUUUAAUAUUUCAUUUCUUACCACUUCUUUCAUCUUAGGAUUUAACCGUCGUUGAUGAUUAGCAACUGGUUUAGCAUCAGGCUCCAUAUUAAUUUUGUGCUGACAUAGAGUGGGAAUAAUGCCCUUUAUAUAAUCAAGAGUAUAUCCAAUAGUGGCAUGGUGCUUGUUUAGAGUUUUCAAUAAUUUCUUCUCUUCAUGCUCUGAAAGGUUAGCACUAAUAAUAACAUGAUAUAUCUUCUUUUCAUCAAAAUAAGCAUAUUCCAAAGUAUGAUGUAAUUGUUUAAGAUCAAACACGGGAUCACCCUUGGGUGGAGGAGGAUCUCCAAGGAAUUCAACAUGCAAAUUGUGUUUCAAAAUAGGCAUUUGGUUAAAGAAUAUUCCAUCUAAUUCCUUUCUUUCAUUCAUAAACAUAUCAUUUUCAUGGUCUAGCAAAUAUUGUUCUAAAGGAUCGGUAGGAGGCACGACAACAGAAGCAAGACCAAUAAUUUCAUCCUUACUAGGCAAUUCUUUAUCAUGGGGUUGUCUACAAAAUUUAGAGAAAUUAAAAUCAUGAGACACAUCCCCAAAACUUACAGUAACAAUUUCUUUCUCACAGUCUAUCUUAGCAUUAACAGUGUUGAAGAAAGGUCUACCAAAUAUAAUGGGACAAAAAUCAUCUUGUGGGGAAUCAAGAGCAAGAAAAUCAGUAGGGUAUUUUAUUUUCCCACACAAGACUUCAACAUCUCUAAAACUCCUAAUUGGUGAUAUAGUAUCUCUAUUGGCAAGCUUAAUAGUAACAUCAAUAUCUUCCAUCUCAGCAGGUGCAAUAUCAUUCAUAAUUUCUUGAUAUAAGGUAAAAGGAAUUGCACUCACACUAGCACCCACAUCACAUAAGCCAUGAUAAAAAUGAUCUCCUAUUUUAACAGAAACAAUAGGCAUGGCAACAAUAGGUCUAUGUUUAUCUUUAGUAUCGGGUCUAGCAAUUCUAGCAGCUUUGUCACAGAAAUAAAUAACAUGCCCAUCAAUAUUAUCAACCAAGAGAUCUUUAACCAGAGCAAUACUAGGUUCAACUUUAAUUUUUUCAGGGGGUGUAGGUGUUCUAGUAUAACUCUUACGAACCAUAGCUGAAGCUUUAGCAUGAUCCUUUAUCCUAACAGGAAAAUGUGGUUUCUCAAUAUAAGCAAUAGGAACAAUAGGAUCAACAUUAUAAGUAACAAUUUAUUCUUUAGCUCUAAUAGGUUCUACUACUUUUACUUCAAUGGGAGGAUGAUAUUUAAACCACUUAUCCUUAGGGAGAUCAACAUGAGUAGUAAAAGAUUCACAGAAAGAAGCUACUAUCUCAGAGUCAAGUCCAUAUUUAGUGCUAAAUUCACGGAAAACAUCGGUAUCCAUGAAAGAUUUAACACAAUCAAACUUAAGGUUUAUAUCUAACUCAUUACCUUUGUCGAGUUCCCAAUAUUCAGAGUUGCGUUUAAUUCUUUCCAAUAAAUCCCAUUUGAAUUCAAUAGUCUGCUUCAUAAAAGAAGCAGUGCAAGAAGUAUCGAGCAUGGAUUGAUCAUUACGAGAAAGCUGAGCAUAAAAAUUCUAAAUAAUAAUUUCUCUUGAGAGAUCAUGAUUGGGGCAUGAAUAUAACAUUAAUUUAAGACUCCCCCAAGCUUGAGCGAUACUUUCUCCUUCACGAGGCCAACAAUUAUAAAUAUAAUUCCGAUCACGCUGAACUAGAUGCAUAGGAUAAAACUUCUGAUGAAAUUCCAAUUUCAAUCGGUUGUAGUUCCAAGUCCCAAUAUCAUCGCAUAGCCUAUACUAUGUCAAUGCCUUUACCUUCAAAGAUAAAGGCAAUACCUUCUUCUUGACAUCAUCUUCGGGCAAACCUACAAGUUUAAUUAAUCCACAAACUUCAUCCACAUAGAUUAGAUGCAUAUCAGGACGUAAUGUUCCAUCUCCCGCAUAAGAAUGAGCCAGUAGUUUCUCUAUCAUACCCGAAGGAAUUUCAUAAUAAAUAUUUUCAGUAGGUUUAGUAGGUUGAGGAGCAACUCUUUGCUCUACCGGUCAAGGUGAAGAUACCCCAAACAAGCCCCUAAAAGGAUAAUUUUCCAUAGUGACAAGUGACAAUAAAUUUCAACACAUAAUAUAAUUGUUUCCUUACCAAAUUCCACUUACCAAAGGCGCUUCACUCCUCGGCAACGGCGCCAGAAAAAAGUCUUGAUGACCCACAAGUUGUAACAACCUGGUUUUUGGCCCUUUUCUUUUUUCUUUUUGAUUCAUUGGUUUUUGCUCUAUUUUUAUUUUUGGAGUGGUUCUGUGGUCUUGCCACCAGGAAAAUCAUCCUCAUUCCCCCUCCCAAGCGGCUCAUCAUUCUGAAAACCUUGCCAAGAUCAUGUCACUUCAUUGCUUUACCAAACCCUAAUUUCUUUUUCUCAGUAAUAUUCCUUUUUCUAUAAAAGGAAUAACCUCAAGUGCCCUAGGUUGUGAAGCAACCCAUAUUUCUGUCCAUCCAAAAAUUCCCAAAUAAUUCUCAUAAUUUCUUUGGGUCAUAUGUUGCUCAAAUAUGCCCAAACUUUCUUGUACUAGCCCAAUAAUAAUUCCCCAAUAAUUAUUCUUCAUUUCUGUCCAGAGGGGCACUUUGUGAAGGAAGUGCCAUUUAUCCAACCUUGUUUGCUCCCAAACAUUUGCGACAUUAUCUUAUGUCAAAUAAUUGCCCCAUGCAAAAAUUCAACUUUAUUUGCCUAGCCAAUAUUCCUCUGUGAUUUUUCAAAGUUUCUGUCAGACAGAAGGCUUUGUGAAGGAAGUACUAGGUAGGGUUAUCCAAAUGAGUUGAAAUUUUGCAAACUCCUUAAUGUUAUCAUAUUAGCACAUUCCUCCAAAUUUCAGCUCCAUCCCGUGAUCAAUGUGAGCACAUGAUCAAAUCUUUGAUUCUGUCAACAUUUUCAGGUUGUGAAGCAAGUAUUUUUAUAUUGCUUCAUUCUGGCUGAACAUUUGCAAGAGAAUUCUCUUUACCAUAAAACCUCUCUCCACAAAAUUUGGGAUCAAUUCAUCACGCAAAUUUUUCUCUAGAAUUUUUGCAAGUUUCUGGAUAGAGGGAAUAGUUGUGAAGGAAGUACCAUUUUGGUGAAUCCAUUUGGUGCAAAAAUUCAACAACAUCUUCUUAUGACCAAAUAACUUAGCCUUGCCAAUUUUUAGCUCAAGUGGCAUCUCCAUGUGAGUGCACCUUCCUAAUCAAGUUUCUGGACCCAUAAUGUGAGUUACAGAGCAACUAUAUUAGUGUGUGCUCCAUUAUGCCCCAAAACCUCCAGGAUCAUAGUCCUUCCUAAGCUAAUCAUCUCAGACAAAUCCAUUUGGUCUAAGCACUUUCCUAUUGAUCAGCAGUGCACGACCAAGUUUACUGCAGUAAACUUCAGACAAUGAUUACCAUUUAACCGUACCAUUUUUCAUCAAUCUACGACCGCAGUUGAAACCUUCCCCGGAAGAACUUACCACUAGACAAUAGGUUACAGCCCAUCUCCCCCGCUACAUGCCAGUGCACGCGGUGACCGCGUUAACGGCAUCACAGUGCCGCACUCUAUGCGCAGUGGCCGCGUCCAGGGCGUCGUUUCCGCUUCAUCCGCUCCCCUCUCAUCGUCUUCGCAUGCGUGACCACAUCCAAUGGCUUCAUCUCGUCAUCGCCGUUCCCCUGGACCCCUCUCCCCCUCCGGCAACUUCCUUACCGACGUAAGCCGCCGCACGCCCACGGCGAACAGUGGCGGUUUAGCUCGGAGCUCGCCGUCUUCUUCAUCCCUGCACUCCCUUGGCCGCCUCUUCCCCGUGAGCUCUCCCUCCUGUUCCCUCUCAUCGCCUAACCCUGAGCUCAUGCGCGUGCACACGCGUCAGCGGCGCCGGCCACGCAUCCGCGGUGACGAUAGCACGGCACACUCCUCCCUCGCCUAUAUAAGCCCACCCCGAGACCCCCCGUGCUCACCAGCCUCUUCUACUCUCUCCUAGCUUCCUCCCCAACCACCCAAGCGAGCUCGAGGAGCUCUCAUUACCUCCCCUCGUCACCACGGCCGUCGCUUUGUCCCGGCUAAAUUCGCUCAAAGCCAUCCUCCUCCUUGUAUUCUGCUACCUCUUGAGCACUGCGCUGGUUUUCCCUUGAAGAGGAAAGGGUAAUGCAGUAGAGCAGCAUAAGUAUUUCCCUCAGUUUUUGAGAACCAACGUAUCAAUCCAGUAGGAGAACACGCAUGAGUCACCUCGUACCUACACACACAAAUAAGAACCUCGCAACCAAUGCGAUAAAGGGGUUGUCAAUCCCUUCACGACCACUUGCAAGAGUGAGAUCUGACAGAGAUGAUAAUAAUAAGAUAAAUAUUUUUGGUAUUUUUAUGAUAUAGAUUGAAAGUAAAAGAUAGCAAACUAAAGUAUAUUGGAAAUUUGUAUGAUGGAAAAUAGACUCGGGGCCAUAGGUUUCACUAGUGGUUUCUCUCAAGAUAGCAUAAGUAUUACGGUGGGUGAACAAAUUACCGUCGAGCAAUUGAUAGAAAAGCGAACAAUUAUGAGAAUAUCUAGGAAAGGCAUCAUGUCGGAGUCAAGUAGGCCGAAACGAUUCUGCAUCUACUACUAUUACUCCACACAUCGACCGCUAACCAGCAUGCAUCUAGAGUAUUAAGUUCAUAAGAACAGAGUAACGCCUUAAGCAAGAUGACAUGAUGUAGAGGGAUAAACUCAUGCAAUAUGAUGUAAACCCCAUAUUUUUAUCCUCGAUGGCAACAAUACAAUACGUGUCGUUUCCCUUUUUUUCACUGGGAUUGAGCACCGCAAGAUUGAACCCAAAGCUAAGCACUUCUCCCAUUGCAAGAAAGAUCAAUCUAGUAGGCCAAACCAAACUGAUAAUUCGAAGAGACUUGCAAAGAUAAACCAAUCAUACAUAAAAGAAUUCAGAGAAGAUUCAAAUAUUGUUCAUAGAUAAUCUGGAUCAUAAACCCACCAUUCAUCGGAUCUCGACAAACACACCGCAAAAAGAAGAUUACAUCGAAUAGAUCUCCAAGAGAAUCGAGGAGAACUUUGUAUUGAGAUCCAAAGAGAGAGAAGAAGCCAUCUAGCUACUAGCUAUGGACCCGAAGGUCUGAAGUAAACUACUCACACAUCAUCGGAGAGGCCAUGGAGUUGAUGUAGAGGCCCUCCGUGAUCAAUUCCACCUCCGGCGGAGCUCCGGAAAAGGCCCCAAGAUGGGAUCUCUUGGGUACAGAAGGUUGCGGCGGUGGAAUUAGGUUUUCGUGGUGCUCCUAGAUGUUUGUGGGGUAUAUGGAUAUAUAUAGGAGGAAGAAGUAGGUCGAUGGAGCAAUGAGAGGCCCACAAGGGUGGUGGGCGCGGCCAGGGGGGUAGGCGCGCCCCCUGCCUCGUGGCCUCCUCGAUUGUUUCUUGACGUCCACUUCAAGUCUCCUAGAUCACAUUUGUUCCAAAAUAACACUCCCGAAGGUUUCAUUCCGUUUGGUAUUCCUUUUCGGCGAAACUCUAAAAUAGGCAAAAAACAGCAAUUUGGGUUGGGCCUCCGAUUAAUAGGUUAGCCUUAAAAAUAAUAUAAAAGUGUAAAAAUAAUCCCAUUAACAUCCUAAAUAGAUAAUAUAAUAACAUGGAACAAUAAAAAAAUAUAGAUACGUUGGAGACAUAUCAGCAUCCCCAAGCUUAAUUCCUGCUCGUCCUCAAGUAGGUAAAUGAUAAAAGCAGAAUUUUUGAUGUGGAAUGCUUCCUAACAUAUUUCUCAAUGUAAUUUUUCUUUAUUGUGGCAUGAAUGUUCAGAUCCGAAAGAUCCAAGAUAAAAGUUCAAUAUUGACAUAUAAAUAAUAAUACUUCAAGCACACUAACUAAGCAAUCAUGUCUUCUCAAAAUAAUAUGGACAAAGAAAGUUAUCCCUACAAAAUCAUAUAGUCUGGCUAUGCUCUUUCUUCAUCACACAAAAUAUUAAAUCAUGCACAACCCCGAUGACAAGCCAAGCAAUUGUUUCAUACUUUUUAUGUUCUCAAACUUUUUCAAUCUUCACGCAAUAUAUGAGCGUGAGCCAUGGAUAUAGCACUAUAGUGGAAUAGAAUGGUGGUUGUGGAGAAGACAAAAAAGGAGAAGAUAGUCUCACAUCAACUAGGAGUUUCAACGGGCUAUGGAGAUGCCCAUUAAUAGAUAUCACUGCGAGUGAAUAGGGAUUGCCAUGCAAUGGGUGCACUAGAGCUAUAAGUGUAUGAAAGCUCAACAAAAGAAACUAAGUGGGUGUGCAUCCAACUUGCUUGUUCACGAAGACCUAGGGCAAUUUGAGGAAGCCCAUCAUUGGAAUAUACAAGCCAAGUUCUAUAAUGUAAAAUUCCCACUAGUUUAUGAAAGUGACUGAAGGAAAUAUGCCCCAGAGGCAAUAAUAAAGUUAUUAUUUAUUUCCUUAUAAUCAUUAUAAAUGUUUAUUAUUCAUGCUAGAAUUGUAUUAACCGGAAACAUAAUACAUGUGUGAAUAAAUAGACAAACAAAGUGUCACUAGUAUGCCUCUAGUUGACUAGCUCGUUAAUCAAAGAUGGUUAUGUUUCCUAACCAUGAACAAUGAGUUGUUAUUUGAUUAACGAGGUCACAUCAUUAGUUGAAUGAUCUGAUUGACAUGACCCAUUCCAUUAGCUUAGCACCCGAUCGUUUAGUAUGUUUGCUAUUGCUUUCUUCAUGACUUAUACAUGUUCCUAUAACUAUGAGAUUAUGCAACUCCCGUUUACCGGAGGAACACUUUGGGUACUACCAAACGUCACAACGUAACUGGGUGAUCAUAAAGGAGUACUACAGGUGUCUCCAAUGGUACAUGUUGGGUUGGCGUAUUUCGAGAUUAGGUUUUGUCACUCCGAUUGUCGGAGAGGUAUCUCUGGGCCCUCUCGGUAAUGCACAUCACAUAAGCCUUGCAAGCAUUACAACUAAUAUGGUAGUUGUGAGAUGAUGUAUUACGGAACGAGUAAAGAGACUUGCCGGUAACGAGAUUGAACUAGGUAUUGGAUACCUACGAUCGAAUCUCGGGCAAGUAACAUACCGAUGACAAAAAAGGAACAACGUAUGUUGUUAUGCGGUCUGACCGAUAAAGAUCUUCGUAGAAUAUGUAGGAGCCAAUAUGGAAAUCCAGGUCCCGCUAUUGGUUAUUGACCGGAGACGUGUCUCGGUCAUGUCUACAUUGUUCUCGAACCGUAGGGUCCGCACGCUUAAAGUUAUGAUGACAGUUAUUAUGAGUUUAUGCAUUUUUGAUGUACCGAAGUUAGUUCGGAGUCCCAGAUGUGAUCACGGACAUGACGAGGAGUCUCGGAAUGGUCGAGACAUAAAGAUUGAUAUAUUGGAUGACUAUAUCCGGACACCGGAAGGGUUCCGGAGAAGUUUCGGAUAAAAUCGGAGUACCGGAGGGGUUACCGGAACCCCUCGGGGGUUAAUGGGCCUUAUGGGCCUAAUGUGGAGAAGAGGAAGGGGCUGCCAGGGCAGGCCGCGCGCCCCCUCUCUCCCUAGUCCGAAUUGGACAAGGAGGGAGGGGCGGCGCCCCCCCUUUCCUAUUCUCCCUCCACCUCUCCUAGUUGGACAAGGAACGGGGAGGGGAGUCCUACUCCCGGUAGGAGUAGGACUCCUCCUGCGCCCUCCUUUAGGCCAGCGCACCACCCCCCCUUGGAUCCUUUAUAUACGGAGGCAGGGGGCACCUCUAGACACACAAGUUGAUCAUUGAGAUCGUUCCUUAGCCGUGUGCGGUGCCCCCUGCCACCAUAUUCCACCUCGAUCAUAUUGUUGUAGUGCUUAGACGAAGCCCUGCGUCGGUAGAACAUCAAGAUCGUCAUCACGCCGUCGUGCUGACGGAACUCUUCCCCGAAGCUUUGCUGGAUCGGAGCCCGGGGAUCGUCAUCGAGUUGUACGUGUGCUAAGAACUCGGAGGUGCCGGAGUAACGGUGCUUGGAUCGGUUGGAUCGGGAAGAAGACGUACGACUACUUCCUCUACGUUGUGUCAACGCUUCCAUUGCAAUCUACAAGGGUACGUAGAUCAUACUCUCCCCUCGUUGCUAUGCAUCACCAUGAUCUUGCGUGUGCGUAGGAAAAUUUUGAAAUUACUACGUUCACCAACAGUGGCAUCCGAGCCUAGGUUUUAUGGUUUGAUGUUAUUUGCACGAGUAGAACACAAGUGAGUUGUGGACGAUACAAGUCAUACUGCCUACCAGCAUGUCAUACUUUGGUUCGGCGGUAUUGUUGGACGAGACGACCCGGACCAACCUUACACGUACGCUUACGCGAGACCGGUUCCCUCGACGUGCUUUGCACAUAGAUGGCUUGCGGGCGACUAUCUCUCCAACUUUAGUUGAACCUAGUGUGGCUACGCCCGGUCCUUGUGAAGGUUAAAACGGAGUCUAUUUGACGAACUAUCGUUGUGGUUUUGAUGCGUAGGUGAGAUUGGUUCUUACUUAAGCCCGUAGCAGCCACGUAAAACUUGCAACAACAAAGUAGAGGACGUCUAACUUGUUUUUGCAGGGCAUGUUGUGAUGUGAUAUGGCCAAUAGAUGAUGCUAAAUUUUAUUGUAUGAGAUGAUCAUGUUUUGUAACCGAGUUAUCGGCAACUGGCAGGAGCCAUAUGGUUGUCGCUUUAUUGUAUGCAAUGCAAUCGCGAUGUAAUGCUUUACUUUAUUACUAAGUUGUAGUGAUAGUCGUGGAAGCAUAAGAUUGGCGAGACAACGACGAUGCUACGAUGGAGAUCAAGGUGUCGCGCCGGUGACGAUGGUGAUCAUGACGGUGCUUCGGAGAUGGAGAUCACAGGCACAAGAUGAUUAUGGCCAUAUCAUAUCACUUAUAUUGAUUGCAUGUGAUGUUUAUCUUUUAUGCAUCUUAUCUUACUUUGAUUGACGGUAGCAUUAUAAGAUGAUCUCUCACUAAAUUAUCAAGAAGUGUUCUCCCUGAGUAUGCACCGUUGCGAAAGUUCUUCGUGCUGAGACACCACGUGAUGAUCGGGUGUGAUAGGCUCUACGUUCAAAUACAACGGGUGCAAAACAGUUGCACACGCGGAAUACUCAGGUUAUACUUGACGAGCCAAGCAUAUACAGAUAUGGCCUCGGAACACGGAGACCGAAAGGUCGAGCGUGAAUCAUAUAGUAGAUAUUAUCAACAUAAUGAUGUUCACCGAUGAAACUACUCCAUCUCACGUGAUGAUCGGACAUGGUUUAGUUGAUUUGGAUCACGUGAUCACUUAGAGGAUUAGAGGGAUGUCUAUCUAAGUGGGAGUUCUUAAGUAAUAUGAUUAAUUGAACUUAAAUUUAUCAUGAACUUAGUACCUGAUAGUAUCUUGCUUGUUUAUGUUGAUUGUAGAUAGAUGGCUCGUGCUGUUGUUCCGUUGAAUUUUAAUGCGUUCCUUGAGAAAGCAAAGUUGAAAGAUGAUGGUAGCAAUUACAUGGACUGGGUCCGUAACUUGAGGAUUAUCCUCAUUGCUGCACAGAAGAAUUACGUCCUGGAAGCACCGCUGGGUGCCAGGCCUGCUGCUGGAGCAACACCAGAUGUUAUGAACGUCUGGCAGAGCAAAGCUGAUGACUACUCGAUAGUUCAGUGUGCCAUGCUUUACGGCUUAGAAUCGGGACUUCAACGACGUUUUGAACGUCAUGGAGCAUAUGAGAUGUUCCAGGAGUUGAAGUUAAUAUUUCAAGCAAAUGCCCGGAUUGAGAGAUAUGAAGUCUCCAAUAAGUUCUAUAGCUGCAAGAUGGAGGAGAAUAGUUCUGUCAGUGAACAUAUACUCAAAAUGUCUGGGUAUAAUAAUCACUUGAUUCAAUUGGGAGUUAAUCUUCCAGAUGAUUGCGUCAUUGACAGAAUUCUCCAAUCACUGCCACCAAGCUACAAGAGCUUCGUGAUGAACUAUAAUAUGCAAGGGAUGAACAAGACUAUUCCCGAGCUCUUCGCAAUGCUGAAAGCUGCGGAGGUAGAAAUCAAAAAGGAGCAUCAAGUGUUGAUGGUUAACAAAACCACUAGUUUCAAGAAAAAGGGCAAAGGGAAGAAGAAGGGGAACUUCAAGAAGAAUGGCAAGCAAGUUGCUGCUCAAGAGAAGAAACCCAAGUCUGGACCUAAGCCUGAAACUGAGUGCUUCUACUACAAGCAGACUGGUCACUGGAAGCGGAACUGCCCAAAGUAUUUGGCGGAUUAGAAGGAUGGCAAGGUGAACAAAGGUAUAUAUGAUAUACAUGUUAUUGAUGUGUACCUUACUAAUGCUCGCAGUAGCACCUGGGUAUUUGAUACUGGUUCUGUUGCUAAUAUUUGCAACUCGAAACAGGGGCUACGGAUUAAGCGAAGAUUGGCUAAGGACGAGGUGAUGAUGCGCGUGGGAAAAGGUUCCGAAGUCGCUGUGAUCGCGGUUGGCACGCUACCUCUACAUCUACCUUCGGGAUUAGUAUUAGACCUAAAUAGUUGUUAUUUAGUGCCAGGGUUAAGCAUGAACAUUAUAUCUGGAUCUUGUUUGAUGCGAGACGGUUAUUCAUUUAAAUCAGAGAAUAAUGGUUGUUCUAUUUAUAUGAGUAAUAUCUUUUAUGGUCACGCACCCUUGAAGAGUGGUCUAUUCUUAUUGAAUCUCGAGAGUAGUGAUACACAUAUUCAUAAUGUUGAAGCCAAAAGAUGCAGAGUUGAUAAUGAUGGUGCAACUUAUUUGUGGCACUGCCAUUUAGGUCAUAUCGGUGUAAAGCGCAUGAAGAAACUCCAUACUGAUGGACUUUUGGAACCACUUGAUUAUGAAUCACUUGGUACAUGCGAACCGUGCCUCAUGGGCAAGAUGACUAAAACACCGUUCUCCGGUACUAUGGAGAGAGCAACAGAUUUGUUGGAAAUCAUACAUACAGAUGUAUGUGGUCCGAUGAAUAUUGAGGCUCGUGGUGGAUAUCGUUAUUUUGUCACCUUCACAGAUGAUUUAAGCAGAUAUGGUUAUAUCUACUUAAUGAAACAUAAGUCUGAAACAUUUGAAAAGUUCAAAGAAUUUCAGAGUGAAGUUGAAAAUCAUCGUAACAAGAAAAUACAGUUUCUACGAUCUGAUCGUGGAGGAGAAUAUUUGAGUUACGAGUUUGGUGUACAUUUGAAAAAUUGUGGAAUAGUUUCGCAACUCACGCCACCCGGAACACCACAGCGUAAUGGUGUGUCUGAACGUCGUAAUCGCACUUUACUAGAUAUGGUGCGAUCUAUGAUGUCUCUUACUGAUUUACCGCUAUCAUUUUGGGGAUACGCUCUAGAGACGGCCGCAUUCACGUUAAACAGGGCACCAUCAAAAUCCGUUGAGACGACGCCUUAUGAACUAUGGUUUGGCAAGAAACCAAAGUUGUCGUUUCUGAAAGUUUGGUGCUGCGAUGCUUAUGUGAAAAAGCUUCAACCUGAUAAGCUCGAACCCAAAUUGGAGAAAUGUGUCUUCAUAGGAUAUCCAAAGGAAACUAUUGGAUACACCUUCUAUCACAGAUCCGAAGGCAAAAACUUUUGUUGCUAUAUUCGGAAACUUUCUUGAGAAGGAGUUUCUCUCGAAAGAAGUGAGUGGGAGGAAAGUAGAACUUGACGAGGUAACUGUACCUGCUCCCUUGUUGGAAAAUAGUACAUCACAGAAAACUGUUUCUGCGACAACUACACCAAUAAGUGAGGAAGUUAAUGAUAAUGAUCAUGAAACUUCAGAACAAGAUACUACUGAACCUCGUAGAUCAACCAGAGUAAGAUCCGCACCAGAGUGGUACGGUAAUCCAGUUCUGGAAGUCAUGCUACUAGAUCAUGAUGAACCUACGAACUAUGAAGAAGCGAUGGUUAGCCCAGAUUCUGCAAAGUGGCUUGAAGCCAUGAAAUCUAAGAUGGGAUCCAUGUAUGAGAACAAAGUAUGGACUUUGGUUGACUUGCCCGAUGAUCGGCAAGCAAUUGAGAAUAAAUGGAUCUUCAAGAAAAAGACUGACGCUGACGGUAAUGUUACUGUCUAUAAAGCACGACUUGUUGCAAAAGGUUUUCGACAAGUUCAAGGGGUUGACUACGAUGAGACCUUCUCACCCGUAGCGAUGCUUAAGUUUGUCCGAAUCAUGUUAGCAAUUGCCGCAUUUUAUAAUUAUGAAAUUUGGCAGAUGGAUGUCAAAACUGCAUUCCUGAAUGGAUUUCUGGAAGAAGAGUUGUAUAUGAUGCAACCAGAAGGUUUUGUUGAUCCAAAGGGAGCUAACAAAGUGUGCAGGCUCCAACGAUCCAUUUAUGGACUGGUGCAAGCCUCUCGGAGUUGGAAUAAACGCUUUGAUAGUGUGAUUAAAGCAUUUGGGUUUAUACAGACUUUCGGAGAAGCCUGUAUUUACAAGAAAGUGAGUGGGAACUCUGUAGCAUUUCUGAUAUUAUAUGUGGAUGACAUAUUAUUGAUUGGAAAUGAUAUAGAAUUUCUGGAUAGCAUAAAGGGAUACUUGAAUAAGAGAUAGAUCAAGACGCUUAAUUGGACUUUCACAAAGCACAUACCUUGACAAGAUUUUGAAAAAGUUCAAAAUGGAUCAAGCAAAGAAAGGGUUCUUGCCUGUGUUACAAGGUGUGAAGUUGAGUCAGACUCAAUGCCCGACCACUGCAGAAGAUAGAGAGAAAAUGAAAGAUGUUCCCUAUGCUUCAGCCAUAGGCUCUAUCAUGUAUGCAAUGAUGUGUACCAGACCUGAUGUGUGCCUUGCUAUAAGUUUAGCAGGGAGGUACGAAAGUAAUCCAGGAGUGGAUCACUGGACAGCGGUCAAGAACAUCCUGAAAUACCUGAAAAGGACUAAGGAUAUGUUUCUCGUAUAUGGAGGUGACAAAGAGCUCACCGUAAAAGGUUACGUUGAUGCAAGCUUUGACACUGAUCCGGAUGAUUCUAAAUAGCAAAACGGAUAUGUGUUUACAUUGAACGGUGGAGCUGUCAGUUGGUGCAGUUCUAAACAAAGCGUCGUAGCGGGAUCUACAUGUGAAGCGGAGUACAUAGCUGCUUCGGAAGCAGCAAACGAAGGAGUCUGGAUGAAGGAGUUCAUAUCCGAUCUAGGUGUCAUACCUAGUGCAUCGGGUCCAGUGAAAAUCUUUUGUGACAAUACUGGUGCAAUUGCCUUGGCAAAGGAAUCCAGAUUUCACAAAAGGACCAAGCACAUCAAGAGACGCUUCAACUCCAUCCGGGAUCUAGUCCAGGUGGGAGACAUAGAGAUUUGCAAGAUACAUACGGAUCUGAAUGUUGCAGACCCGUUGACUAAGCCUCUUCCACGAGCAAAACAUGAUCAGCACCAAGGCUCCAUGGGUGUUAGAAUCAUUACAGUGUAAUCUAGAUUAUUGACUCUAGUGCAAGUGGGAGACUGAAGGAAAUAUGCCCUAGAGGCAAUAAUAAAGUUAUUAUUUAUUUCCUUAUAAUCAUGAUAAAUGUUUAUUAUUCAUGCUAGAAUUGUAUUAACUGGAAACAUAAUACAUGUGUGAAUAAAUAGACAAACAAAGUGUCACUAGUAUGCCUCUACUUGACUAGCUCGUUAAUCAAAGAUGGUUAUGUUUCCUAACCAUGAACAAUGAGUUGUUAUUUGAUUAACGAGGUCACAUCAUUAGUUGAAUGAUCUGAUUGACAUGACCCAUUCCAUUAGCUUAGCACCCGAUCGUUUAGUAUGUUGCUAUUGCUUUCUUCAUGACUUAUACAUGUUCCUAUAACUAUGAGAUUAUGCAACUCCCGUUUACCGGAGGAACACUUUGGGUACUACCAAACAUCACAACGUAACUGGGUGCUUAUAAAGGAGUACUACAGGUGUCUCCAAUGGUACAUGUUGGGUUGGCGUAUUUCGAGAUUAGGUUUUGUCACUCCGAUUGUCGGAGAGGUAUCUCUGGGCCCUCUCGGUAAUGCACAUCACAUAAGCCUUGCAAGCAUUACAACUAAUAUGGUAGUUGUGAGAUGAUGUAUUACGGAACGAGUAAAGAGACUUGCCGGUAACGAGAUUGAACUAGGUAUUGGAUACCGACGAUCGAAUCUCGGGCAAGUAACAUACCGAUGACAAAAAAGGAACAACGUAUGUUGUUAUGCGGUCUGACCAAUAAAGAUCUUCGUAGAAUAUGUAGGAGCCAAUAUGGGCAUCCAGGUCCCGCUAUUGGUUAUUGACCGGAGACGUGUCUCGGUCAUGUCCACAUUGUUCUCGAACCGUAGGGUCCGCACGCUUAAAGUUACAAUGACAGUUAUUAUGAGUUUAUGCAUUUUUGAUGUACCGAAGUUAGUUCGGAGUCCCAGAAGUGAUCACGGACAUGACGAGGAGUCUCGGAAUGGUCGAGACAUAAAGAUUGAUAUAUUGGAUCACUAUAUUCGGACACCGGAAGGGUUCCGGAGAAGUUUCGGAUAAAACCGGAGUACCGGAGGGGUUACCGGAACCCCUCGGGGGUUAAUGGGCCUUAUGGGCCUAAUGUGGAGAAGAGGAAGGGGCUGCCAGGGCAGGCCGCGCGCCCCCUCUCUCCCUUGUCCGAAUUGGACAAGGAGGGAGGGGCGGCGCCCCCCCUUUCCUAUUCUCCCUCCACCUCUCCUAGUUGGACAAGGAACGGGGAGGGGAGUCCUACUCCCGGUAGGAGUAGGACUCCUCCUGCGCCCUCCUCUAGGCCGGUGCACCACCCCCCCUUGGAUCCUUUAUAUACGGAGGCAGGGGGCACCUCUAGACACACAAGUUGAUCAUUGAGAUCGUUCCUUAGCCGUGUGCGGUGCCCCCUGCCACCAUAUUCCACCUCGAUCAUAUCAUUGUAGUGCUUAGGCGAAGCCCUGCGUCGGUAGAACAUCAAGAUCGUCAUCACGCCGUCGUGCUGACGGAACUCUUCUCCGAAGCUUUGCUGGAUCGGAGCCCGGGGAUCGUCAUCGAGCUGUACGUGUGCUAAGAACUCGGAGGUGCCGGAGUAACGGUGCUUGGAUCGGUUGGAUCGGGAAGAAGACGUACGACUACUUCCUCUAUGUUGUGUCAACGCUUCCGUUGCGAUCUACAAGGGUACGUAGAUCAAACUCUCCCCUCGUUGCUAUGCAUCACCAUGAUCUUGUGUGUGCGUAGGAAAAUUUUGAAAUUACUACGUUCCCCAACAGUGACAACAUAAGAGACUCUCUAUCAUGAAGAUCAUGGUGCUACUUUGAAGCACAAGUGUGGAAAAAGGAUAGUAACAUUGUCCCUUCUCUCUUUUUCUGUCAUUUUAUUUCAUUUUUUUAUUUGGGCCUUCUUCUUUUUCUUUUUUUUGGCCUCUUUUUUUCGUCCGGAGUCUCAUCCCGACUUGUGAGGGAAUCAUAGUCUCCAUCAUCCUUUCCUCACUGGGACAAUGCUCUAAUAAUGAUGAUCAUCACACUUCUUUUUACUUACAACUCAAGAAUUGCGACUCAAUACUUAGAACAAAAUAUGACUCUAUGUGAAUGCCUCCGGCGGUGUACCGAGAUAUGCAAUGAAUCAAGAGUGACAUGUAUAAAAAAUUAUGAACGGUGGCUUUGCCACAAAUACGAUGUCAACUACAUGAUCAUGCAAAGCAAUAUGACAAUGGUGAAGCGUGUCAUAGCAAACGGAACGGUGGAAAGUUGCAUGGCAAUAUAUCUCGGAAUGGCUAUGGAAAUGCCAUAAUAGGUAGGUAUGGUGGCUGUUUUGAGGAAGGUAUAUGGUGGGUUUAUGGUACCGGCGAAAGUUGCGCAGUACUAGAGAGUCUAGCAAAAGUGGAAGGGUGAGGCUGCGUAUAAUUCAUGGACUCAACAUUAGUCAUAAAGAACUCACAUACUUAUUGCAAAAAUCUAUUAGUUAUCAAAAUAAAGUACUACACGCAUGCUCCUAGGGGGAUAGAUUGGUAGGAAAAGACCAUCGCUCAUCCCCGACCGCCAGUCACAAGGAAGGCAAUCAAUAAAUAAGGCCCUCCGUGAUCAAUGCCCCCUUCGGCGGAGCUCCGGAAAAGGCCCAAGAUCGGAUCCCUUGGGUACAGAAGGUUGCGGCGGUGGAAUUAGGUUUUCAUGGUGCUCCUGGAUGUUUGCGGGGUAUAUGGAUACAUAGGAGGAAGAAUUAGGUCGAUGGAGCAACGAGGGGCCCACGAGGGUGGAGGGCGCACCCAGGGGGGUAGGCGCGCCCCCUGCCUCGUGGCCUCCUUGAUUGUUUCUUGACGUCCACUCCAAGUCUCCUGGAUCACGUUUGUUCCAAAAAACACUCCGGAAGGUUUCAUUCCGUUUGGACUCCAUUUGAUAUUCCUUUUUGGCGAAACUCUAAAAUAGGCAAAAAAAACAACAAUUUGGGCUGGGCCUCCGGUUAAUAGGUUAGUCCUAAAAAUAAUACAAAAGUGUAAAAAUAAGCCCAUUAACAUCCAAAAUAGAUAAUAUAAUAGCAUGGAACAAUCAAAAAUUAUAGUUACAUUGGAGAUGUAUCAUAUUCUUCCACCUCGAGAGCCCCUCUCUACCUCCCGCGACCCUUCCCUGUUGUUUUCCUCAUCCUUCGGCGCACCAGGGAGUCGUGCCCGUCGCUGUGCGACGUGGCCGUCCGCUGCGGUCAAAGCUGCUCCCGCUCCCGUCGUCUUCAGCAACCGGGAGGCUGACCAGGCGAUGAGGCUCGGUCCCCCGAGCUCGUUGGUGUGCCGAGUGCCGCGGGAGGCGGACGAAAUCGCCGACGAGCCCCGUCGGGAUCCUCCUCUGCCGCGACCGAACGCCGGUGCAAGAGAUUGAAGGCGCUGACCUGGCUAGGCAGGCACCACCGCUCGCGGACCCCACUCGUCAACCGCACAGCCCGUUGACCCGCCCUCGCUUACGUGGAUUAGUGUAAAUGUAUUCCCCAGAGUGCGUUUUCGCUAACCGAAAGCGUAAGCAGCUGCGAUUGUGGGCUGGAUUGUGCUUUCAUUUCACCAAAAGCGUAUUUCCUCGAGUGCAUGUUCUGUUUUUCCGUCUAAGGGCCUGUUUGUGAUGAUUUUGUUACAGAUAGGUCCCUGGUAGGAAAAAACCCUUAUAACUUUUUGCCCAUAGCUCUAAAUUAGGUGAAUCCAAAGCCCACUUCUUUGUUUCAUCGAGCUUGUUCUGAUGGAAUCAUUUUCACCAUGUUUUGACAUUCUGAAAAUGACCAUUUUGCCCUUGCCCUUAUUCAGCCCCUUUGAGAGAGAAAGAUUUCUGGCGAUUCUUUCCGCGAGCUUCUCGCGCUUCUUCCCGGUGAUUUCUUCCACCCCAGGCAAGCCACACCCUCCAUUUGCAUGAUUGCAAUGCAGUGACAUGGUUCUUUAUUUGAACUUAUUUACAAUAUUGCAGUAGCUAUGUAUGAUCUUGUUGAUGGCAUUUCUCGGAGUAUUGUUUGAUCUUGCUAUUGCCAUGAUAUUAUUUGGAAUUCUAGGUUUAAUAUUUUGCAUUUUGUGAGGAUGACAUGUUGCCUUUGGACUCUUAGUGGCUAUUAUAAUUAUUUUCAUGUUGGUAUCUGGUAUUAUAUUUUUGGAGUAUUACUCUGGAUAUCAUGUUGCCUUUGGAUUAUUAGUGGCUAGUGUUAUUUUCAUCAUGAUGCUAGAUAAUAUUGUGUUUUGGAGUAUGAUGUUGGAGAUGAUGCUUGCAUGUGGAUCAUAGUUGGAUAGUUAGUUCUUGAUAUGCGAGUAGUAGUUUUAUCGUUCUUGGAUUUAUCAUGAUAGUAGUGUUAUGCUGUCCUCAAAGUAUUUUGGUAAGACGAUAUUAAGCUUUGGAUUAUUUGUUGGAUAUUGCUGUGACUUGGAUUAUAGGUUGAUAGAUGGUAUCGGAGUAUCAAUUAAUACUGCUAUAUUUUGAGUAUAAAUUAUGUCAUUAAGUUGGUCAGGUGCCACUGAAACGUACCUUUUCCAAUGCAACCUCAUUUGCCUUUUAUGGGAAGGCCCUAAUGCGGUCUAUUGUCGUGCCUCUCGCCGGUGCCUCCAACGAGGGAAGGUUAUGCGCGGGCGCUACCCUGAUCAGGUAGGACAGCAUAAGCCUUGUGUGCCCGUAGUUGGUAUUGAGAUCUCUUGUCCCCGUUUGGGACCAUUUUUGUUUUGCCAUGAUGGUGGCCGUUGGUGCCUUUGGUAGGUACAGGGCCACGCAGGGCUGAACUCAAAAAGGGGUGUUGGUCGGAGUGGCUGGGAGAGUGUCAUGGCAGUAGGUCAGUUUUGUCGGAACACCGUUGGUCCACCCAAAUGGGAGUGCGAGGCCAUGGGUUCCGUGGUGUGGAUAAAGUGCGCUACCUCUGUAGAGUGUGUGUGUUUAAUCUAUCGAUAGCCGCGUCCUCGGUCAAUGGGCACAAGUUCGUACUAGGUCACACCGUUCGAUCAACACUCACAUGACAGAAUGACUUAUAGGUGAUUUAUAUGUUGAUGUACUUUGAGCAGUUACAGUUUGGCAGGAUGUUGAUGAUGAUCUUGGGAUGAUCUUGAGGAUGAUCAUUCAGUUUGUGGUGUGGUCACGAGGUGAUCAUGUGGAUGUUCCGUUUGUGAUCCGUGAGUGAUCACCGUUUGGUUACGAGGUAAGCCGUUGGACCAAGUGUGGUUCCAUUGGUGAUCCGGGAGUGAUCACCAUUUGGUUUUGAUCACGAGGUGAUCGAGAUGGUAUAUUACUUGGUCGGUUAGCCAUGAGUGAUAUGGUUAUGGAGAUCUAAGAUGUUGGUUUAUCAGUAUGAUAGUAGUUUCAUACCAUGCUUAGUAGAUGCUUCAUCAUAGCACUUGUUAAUUUAUUUAACCUGUUUAUUGCUAUGUUAUUUUCUUGCCUUGAUGUUUAUGGUUGUUAUGAGCUUGCAAGUACAUUCAAUGUUCUGACCUGGCAUGUCAUGCCAGAUUGUAGGUGAUGCCAUGAUUGCUUGAUUGUUUGUCGAGGCGUCCAUUCAUGCGAGCUAGAUCGUGUCCUAGCCAGAGUCCCUGCGGAGUGGAGUUCACCACCUUCGUCGUUGUUCCGCUGCUAUAAGUAUUCCGCUGCUACGAGUUGUUCUGCUGCUAGCAUAGAGCAAGUGCAGUAUCGCAGGCGUAGUAUCGCCAUGUUGAUGUGCUUCUUUGUAACAUCAGACCCUUGUAUUAUUAUUCUUGUAAUAAGAGCUGAUUUGUUCUAUGUGAAGCAGUGCCGUAUUCCAGAGACCUCUCCUCGAUCUCUGGGCUAGAAUACGGGGCGUUCCGGUUUCUCUGAGCCGGGGUGCCACAACGCUUGGUAUCUGAGAAGGUCUGGCUGUAGGACGCCCUAGUCAGCGCGAGCGGUAGAAACCGGUAGUAUAGAGUUUAUCUUGGUUGUUGCAUUUGGUUGCUGCAUUUGUUUGUUGCACAACAUGCAUAUAGCCUUAGUAUUUGUUUCUAACGGUUUAUCUAGUGAGUGUAGCUGGCAUCCGCUCGGAUCCACUACAGCUCAGCCUUUGCAUCUCUCUAGUUUUUCUUUCUUGCUCGUUCUUCGGUGUUUGCAUCAUUUCUGUCCCAGCAGAGUGAUGCCAAGUGAUCCCGACCCUGUUUGCAAAAUGGUGCUCUGGCAUCGCGUUGAAUUCCUUCCUUCAGCCCCAUUUUGUUUCGGUGGUAGACAUGCUUCUAUCUCGGAUUCUCCCUUUUAUCUUAUCGUGUUGACAACCCUUAAUGGUCUCAGUCACCAUAAAAAGGGCAGUGUCAGCAGCCUCAGUUUUUUCCCUGCUAUCCUUAUUUCUUGGAGGAGUAUCAAUAUUUUCCGUCCGCUUGAUAAUAAUGUGGCAACGACAAUUGUGUCCUGCUACCUGGUUAUCAAGUACGUCCUCGCCUCUGAGCUAGUCCAGGUUGCUACCUGGCUAAGCUAGCACUUGGUGUAGCGCUGUUCACACCAAUUCUUCCACACAUUUAUUCGUCCUCGUGCACAUCGUCACAACAUGCUAGAUCGUAGAACCGGAGAUCCCGAGAGAUUUGUGUGCUUAAGUAGGCAUGCAUAUUGUGUGACUAACAGUAAUAUGUGACACUGAUUUUGUGUGAAUUGAUUGUUGUUGUGUGAUUUUGUUUAGUUGAGUUUUCUUUUGUUUUUUUCUUUUGGACCCGGUGUUACAUUAUUUUUCCCCUAUAAAGAGUUGCUCAUCAACCGACACCGGACCCGAAGAAUCAGCAAGGAGUACAAAAAUUUGGAAACUCAGCUAAACAAAAUGGAAUUCUCAGCCGACUAAGUGAAAUGGGGAAUAUCUGAUUUUGAGGCUGAUAAUGAAUUUUGCAUUAAUGUGCACUCCUCACAACCAUACUGAGAACUCAAGUCUACAUUAGCACAAAAUCCUCACAACAGUAAUGAUCAAGUCAAGCAGCAAGACAGGUCAGGUACAAGCUCAACAGUAUAUUUUCAUCCAAAGGUAUGGAUCAUAUAUAAAAUUUGGGCUCAGGAAUGCAUGAUGCUUGAAAUAUAUUAUCAUCCGAAAUAACGUCAGAAUGUGAUACGCUCAAGGAAGACAGCCAAACAAAUUUUCUCACGCAAAUAAUCAGCCACAGAAUAUUAUGGGCGUGUAUGUAGAUUUCAGUCUGCAUAUUAGUAUGAAGCUUUGGAUGUAAGAAACUCAGUCUUCUUCCACACGUUAUCGGAAGAAAUUUAUGAUGCAAGGCUCCUCAAUUUUCCUCACCAUGAUAUGUGAACAAAUUCCGGUCCGAGAAUACCCAGUCUUUCGCAGCAAGAUACCUUAGUAAAAUCUUUUGACAGACGGAAAAUGAAUCUCUCUCAACAAGCAACCUGAGGAGAAACUUCUCAAGUAUGGAAACGCGGCUUCUCCAACACCAUCCUUAGGUCAAGCUUCGUGUGUAAGCUAUAGAGCCUUCUUCUGCACGAUACCCAGACAAAAGAUUUGAGCAGAAGUUAACAAGUCUUCCUCAGGAAGCUACUCGGAUGGCUUCUCCCGUAAUCCACUCAGUCCGCGUCAGUAUCACACUAAUGCACCAUCCCCAGAGAUUAUAUGACGAGUUGGCAAUAAUUGACAGUGCAGUUCAAGGAUCAGAUUUGCAAUAAAUUUUUUUCCAGAGGUACGGCCAGGAUCCAACAGAUAUACCUAAAGGAAAGUACGGAUCCCAUAGCCUCAUGAAUCAUGCAAAUGAAUAUAAAGAAAGAUAGAUUUCAUAUAAUACAAGGAUCGACAAGAUCUAGAGAUGACAUUACAAAAUCAACAAUCUUGACAAUGGUCGUCAAGGUCAUUAUUCCCGCAACUGCCAAGGAGAUGUCCUAAUACCUUGUCACCUUCUUGUAUGGUUGGCCUAAACAACGAGCUCUAUACAGUUGCAAACCCUGGGUAUAUGUCAUAUGUGUGCGGACCCAAAAACAGGCAUAAGGAAUAAUGUAAAAAUAUUGCACUAAUCACGUCCAUGGUCAUACGAAGAAUCAAGGACAUGUGUGGCCAAAUUAUUUCAGUAAGGAAUCUUAACAAAGAAAAUCGUGACCGUUAAAGGGUGAGAUUGACAGCAAAGGUAUGAUGAUUUUUGCACGACCAUCAGGGUCCGGAUACCCUAAUCAGUUGGAGGCCGUAAUUUCAUAUGGAUCCACAAAGGCAUACACUCAGCGGCCUACAUUGUUUUACAAGGAUUUCAUAUCCCGCUGACCCGCUUGGAAUGGUUAGUGUGGAAAAUCCAAUUGGGUAUACCGACAAAAUGAGAAAAUCAAAAGCUGAAUAAUCAGCUCAGACCCGGUAUAAUCACCGACGGACUCAAGUACACGGUCAGCCUGUCAGGAAAAGCAUUUGUCCGGCAGCCCCCUGUCAGGCCAGUCUCAAGAUGCAAAUAUUUGAGGUAUGACACAACUAUACCUCCAUACGCCAUUAUAUUGCUCCUAACAAAAGGCAGUCAGAUCUUUGGUACAUAUCACAUGCUCGAGCCAAAGAAAUAACUCAAAAUCAGUACCACCUAUGAGCAGUCAGAUCCCGUUAGAAGAUGGCCAUGAUUAAUUCUCAGCUUUUAUUGAAACCAGAAGGCCUGCAUUUAUUUGAAGCAACCCGAUGAUAGAAGUAUUAAGGUUUUCAUGACAAUAGGAAAUUUAUGCUCAGAUCCAUUGGAUAUCACCGCAGAUAUGAAAGAAUCAACUUCAGCAAAAUGAUUUGGUGUGUGAGCCAAAAAAAACCCGUCAGAAUUUGGGGAAAGGUGAAGCAAACCACCCCCAAGCAAAGAUAAUCAAAUCAUAUCAAAUUCUCAGGGGAACAAUAACUAAAGGAAAAAGGAUAGCCGAGCUGGAAAUGGUGUCCUCAAGUCAUACUUUUUCCCUGAGCAACUAAAUCUUGAGGACGAGAUUUCUUUAAGGGGGUAAGAGUUGUAACAGCCUGGUUUUUGGCCCUUUUCUUUUUCUUUUUGAUUUAUUGGUUUGUGCUCUGUUUUUCUUUUUGGAGUGGUUCUGUGGCCUUGCCACCUGGGAAAUCAUCUUCAUUCCCCCUCCCAAGUGGCUCAUCAUUCUCAAAACCUUGCCAAGAUCAUGUCGCUUCACUGCUUGACCAAACCCUAAUUUCGUUUUCUCAGGAAUAUUCCUUUUUCUAUAAAAGGAAUAACCUCAAGUGCCCUAGGUUGUGAAGCAACCCAUAUUUAUGUCCAUCCAAAAAUUCCCAAAUAAUUCUCAUAAUUUCUUUGGGUCAUAUGUGGCUCAAAUAUGCCCAAACAUUCCUGUCCUAGCCCAAUAAUAAUUCCCCAAUAAUUAUUCUUCAUUUCUGUCCAGAGGGGCACUUUGUGAAGGAAGUGCCAUUUAUCCAACCUUGUUUGCUCCCAAACAUUUUGGGCAUUAUAUUAUGUCCAAAUAAUUUCCCCAUGCAAAAAAAUCAACUUUAUUUGCCUAGCCAAUCUUCCUUAGUGAUUUUUCAAAGUUUUUGUCAUACAAAAGGCUUUGUGAAGGAAGUACUAUCUAGGAUUAUACAAAUGAGUUGAAAUUUUGCACACUCCUUCAUGUUCACAUAUUAACACACUCCUCCAAAUUUCAGCUCCAUCCCUUGAUCUAUGUGAGCACAGGAUCAAAUCUUUGAUUCUGUCAAUAUUUUCAGGUUGUGAAGCAAGUAUAUUUUAUAUUGCUUCAUUCUGGCUGAAAAGCUACCAGAGCAUUCUCUUGAGCAUAAAACCUAUCUCCACAAAAUUUGGGAUCAAUUCAUAAAGCCAAUAUUUCUCUAGAAUUUUUGCAAGUUUCUAGACAGAGGGAAUAGUUGUGAAGGAAGUACCAUUUUGGUGAAUCCAUUUGGUACAAACUUUUGACACCAUCUUCUUAUGACCAAAUAACUACGCCUUGCCAAAUUUCAGCUCAAGUGGCAUCUCCAUGUGACUGCACCUUCCUAAUCAAGUUUCUGGACCCAUAAUGUGAGUUACAAAGCAACUAUAUUAGUGUGUGCUCCAUUAUGCCCCAAAACCUCCAGGAUCAUAGUCCUUCCUAAUCUAAUCAUCUCAGACAAAUCCAUUUGGUCUAAGCACUUUCCUGUUGAUCAGCAGUGCACAACCAAGUUUACUGCAGUACACUUCAGACGAUGAUUACCAUUUAACCAUACCAUUUUUCAACGAUCUACCACCGCAGUCGUAACUUCCCCUGGAAGAACUUGCCACUAGACAACAGGUUUCAGCCCAUCUCCCCCGCUACAUGCCAGUGCACGCGGUGACCGCGUUAAUGGCAUCACAGUGCCGCGCUCUGUGCGCAGUGGCCGCGUCCAGGGCACCGUUUCUGCUUCGUCCGCUCCCCUCUCAUUGUCUUCGUGCGCGUGACCAUGUCCAAUGGCUUCAUCUCAUCGUCGCAGUUCCCCUGGACCCCUCUCCCCCUUCGCUAGCUUCCUUACCGACGCAAGCCGCCGCGCGCCCAUGGGUGAGCAGUGGCGGUUUGGCUCAGAGCUCGCCGUCUUCUUCCUCCCUACGCUCCCUUGGCCGCCUCUUCCCCGUGAGCUCUCCCUCCUGUUCCCUUUCGUAGCCUAACCCCAAGCUCAUGUGCGUGCACACGCGUCUGCGGCCCCGGCCACACACCCGUGGUGACGACAGCGUGGCACACUCCUCCCCAGCCUAUAUAAGCCCACUCCGAGACCCCCCCUCCCCGAGCUCACCAGCCUCCUCUACUCUCUCCUAGCUUCCUCCCCGACCACCCAAGCGAGCUCAAGGAGCUCUCAUUCCCUCGCCUCGUCGCCACGGCUGUCACUCUGUCCCGGCUAAAUUUGCUCAAAGCCGUCCUCCUCCUUGUAUUUUUUCACCACUAGAGCCCCUCUCUACCUCCGGUGACCCUCCCCUGCCGUUUCCCUCAUCCUCCGGCGCACCAGAGAAUCGUGCCCGUCGCCGCGCGACAUGGCCGUCCGCUGUGUUCGUAGCUACUCCUGCUCCCGUCAUCUUCAGCAACUGGGAGGCCGACCAGGCGACGCGGCUCGGUCCCCCGAGAAUGUUGGUGUGCCGAGCGCCGCGGGAGGCGGCCGGAAUCGCCGACGAGCCUCGUCGGGAUCAUCCUCUGCCGUGACCGAACAUUGGCGCGAGAGGUUGAAGGCGCUGACCUGGCUAGGCGGGGUCCACCGCCCGUGGACCACACCGCCCGUGGACCCCACUCAUCAGCCGCACAGCCCAUUGACCCGCCCUCACUUACGUGGAUGAGUGGAAACGUAUUCCCCGGAGUACGUUUUCGCUAACCAAAAGCAUAAGCAACUAUGGUUGUGGGCUGGACUGCGCUUUCAUUUCACUGAAAACGUAUUUCCUCGAGUGCACAUUCUGUUUUUCCGGCUAAGGGCAUGUUUGUGAUGAUUUUGUUAUAGAUAGGUCCCUGGCAGAAAAAACCCUUAUAACUUUUUGCCCAUAGCUCCAAAUCAGGUGAAUCCAAAGCCCACUUCUUGUUUUCAUCGAGCCUAUUCCAAUGGAAUCAUUUUCACCAUGUUUUGGCAUUUUGAAAAUGACCAUUUUCCCUUUCCCUUAUUCAGCCCCUCCGAGAGAGAGAAAGAUUUCCAGCAAUUCUUUCCGCGAGCUUCUUGCGCUUCUUCCCGGUGAUUUCUUCCACCCCAGGCAAGCCACACCCUCCAUUUGCAUGAUUGCAAUGAAGUGACAUGGUUCUUUAUUUGAACUUAUUUAAAAUAUUGCAGUAGCUAUGUAUGAUCUUGUUGAUGGCAUUUCUCGGAGUAUUGUUUGAUCUUGCUAUUGCCAUGAUAUUAUUUGGAGUCCUAGGUUUAAUAUUUUGCAUUUUGUGAGGAUGACAUGUUGCCUUUGGAUUCUUAGUGGCUAUUAUGAUUAUUUUCAUGUUGGUAUCUGGUAUUAUAUUUUUGGAGUAUUACUUUGGAUAUCAUGUUGCCUUUUGAUUAUUAGUGGCUAGUGUUAUUUUCAUCAUGAUGCUAGAUAAUAUUAUGUUUUGGAGUAUGAUGUUGGAGAUGAUGCUUGCAUGUGGAUCAUAGUUGGAUAGUUAGUUCUUGAUAUUUGAGUAGUAGUUUUAUCAUUCUUGGAUUCAUCAUGAUAGUAGUGUUAUGCUGUCCUUGGAGUACUUUGGUAAGACGAUAUUAAGCUUUGGAAUAUUUGUUGGAUAUUGCUAUGACUUGUAUUAUAGGUUGACAGAUGAUAUCAGAGUAUUAGUUAAUACUGUUAUAUUUUGAGGAUAAAUUCCUUCAUUAAGUUGGUAAGGUGCCACUUAAAAAGACUUUUUCCAGUGCAACCACAUUUUCCUUUUAUGGGAAGGCCCUAAUGCGGUAUAUUGUCGUGCCUCUCGCCGGUGCCUCCAACAAGGGAAGGUUAUGCGCGGACGCUACCCUGAUCAGGUAGGACGGCAUAAGCCUUGUGUGCCCGUAGUUGGUAUUGAGAUCUCUUGUCCCUGUUUGGGACCAUUUUUGUUUUGCCAGGCAAAGGGCCACCCAGGAUUGAAGCCAAAAAGGGGUGUUGGUCGAAGUGGCUGGGAGAGUGUCAUGGCAGUAGGUCGGUUUUGUCGGAAUGCCGUUGUUUGACUCGAAUGGGAGUGCGAGGCCAUGGGUUCCGUGGUGUGGGUAAAGUGCGCUACCUCUGCAGAGUGUGUGUGUUUAAUCUAUUGAUAGCUCCGUCAUCGGUCAAUGGGCACAAGUUCGUCCUAGGUCAGACCGCUCGAUCAACACUCAUGUGACGGAAUGACUUAUAGGUGAUUUAUAUGUUGAUGUACUUUGAGCAGUAACAGUUUGGCAGGAUGUUGAUGAUGAUGUUGGGAUGAUCUUGAGGAUGAUCAUUCAGUUUGUGGUGUGGUCACGAGGUGAUCAUGUGGAUGUUCCAUUCGUGAUCCGUGAGUGAUCACCGUUUGGUUACGAGGUAACCCGUUGGACCAAGUGUGGUUCCGUUGGUGAUCCGAAAGUGAUCACCGUUUGGUUUUGAUCACGAGGUGAUCAAGAUGGUAUAUUACUUGACCGGUUAGCCAAGAGUGAUAUGGUUAUGGAGAUCUGAGAUGUUGGUUUAUCAAUAUGAUAGUAGUUUCAUACCAUGCUUAGUAGAUGCUUCAUCAUAGUAGUUGUUAAUUUAUUUAACCUGUUUAUUGCUAUGUUAUUGCCUUGCCUUGAUGUUUAUGGUUGUUGUGAGCUUGCAAGUACAUUCAAUGUACUGACCUGGCGUUUCAUACCAGAUUGUAGGUGAUGCCAUGAUUGCUUGAUUGUUUGUCUAGGUGUCCGUUCGUGCGAGCUGGAUCGUGUCCCAGCCAGAGUCCCUACGGAGUGGAGUUCACCACCUUUGUCAUUGUUCCACUGCUAGAAGUAUUCCGCUGCUACGAGUUGUUCUGCUGCUAGCAUAGAGCAAGUGUAGUAUCACAGGCGUAGUGUCGCCCUGCUAAUGUGCUUCUUUGUAACAUCAGACCCUUGUAUUAUUAUUGUUGUAAUAAGAGCUGAUUUGUUCUAUGUGAAGCAGUGUUGUAUUCCAGAGACUUCUCCUCAACCUCUGGGCUGGAAUACGAGGUGCUCUAGUUUCUCUGAGCCGGGGUGCCACACAAGUAUAGGGAAUCUAUUGUAGUCCUUUCGAUAAGUAAGAGUGUUGAACCCAACGAGGAGCAGAAGGAAAUGACAAGCGGUUUUCAGCUAGGUAUUCUCUAUAAGCACUGAUAUUAUCGGUAACAGAUAGUUGUGUGAUAAGAUAAUUCGUAACGGGUAGCAAGUAACAAAAGUAACUAAGGUGCAGCAAGUUGGCCCAAUCCUUUUUGUAGCAAAGGACAAGCCUGGACGAACUCUUAUAUAAUGUAAUGCGCUCCCGAGGACACAUGGGAAUUACUGUCAAGUUAGUUUUCAUCAUGCUCAUAUGAUUCGCGUUUGUUACUUUGAUAAGUUGAUAUGUGGGUGGACCGGUGCUUGGGUGCUGUACUUACUUGGACAAGCCUCCCACUUAUUAUUAACCCCUCUCGCAAGCAUCCACAACUAUGAAAGAAGAAUUAAGAUAAAUCUAACCAUAGCAUGAAACGUGUGGAUCCAAAUCAACCCCUUACGGAGCAACGCAUAAACUAGGGUUUAAGCUUCUAUCACUCUAGCAACCCAUCAUCUACUUAUUAGUUUAAAUGCCUUCCACUAGGCCCAAACCAUGGUGAAGUGUCAUGUAGUCGACGUUCACAUAACACCACUAGAGGAUAAACAACAUACAUCUCAUCAAAAUAUCAAACGAAUACCAAAUUCACAUGAUUACUUAUAACAAGACUUCUCUAGUGUCCUCAGGGACAAGCAUAACUACUCACAAAGAAUAUUCAUGUUCAUAAUCAUAGGAGUAAUAAUUAUCAUUAAGGAUCUGAACAUAUGAUCUUCCACCGAGUAAACCAACUAGCAUCACCUACAAGGAGUAAUCAAUACUACUAGCAACCCAUAGGUACCAAUCUGAGGUUUUGAGACAAAGGUCGGAUACAAGAGAUGAACUAGUGUUUGAGAGGAGAUGGUGCUGGUGAAUAUGUUGAUGGAGAUUGACUCUCUCUCGAUGAGAGGAUUGUGGGUGAUGACGAUGGCUUCGAUUUGCCUCUCCGGGAGGGAAGUUUCCUUGGCAGAACAUCUCCGCUGGAGCCCUAGAUUGGUUCUGCCCAGGUUCUGCCUCGAGACGGCGACGCUUCGUCUCGAAAGCUUCCUCCUUAUUUUUUUAGGUUAAAACCCUUCAUAUAGCAGAAGAUGGGCACCGGGGGCCUGCCAGGUUGCCCACAAGGUAGGGGCGCGCCCCCACCCUUCUGGCUGCCUGGUGGGUCCCCUAUGGUGCUUUCAUCGCCUAAUAUUUUUUAUAUAUUCCAAAAAAAUUCUUUGUAAAUUUUCACGACUUUUGGAGUUGUGCAGAAUAGGUCUCUCAGAUUUGCUCCUUUCUAAUCCAGAAUUCCAGCUGUCGGCAUUCUCCCUCUUUGUGUAAACCUUGUAAAAUAAGAGAGAAAAUGCAUACAUAUUGUGCCAUAAUGUGUAAUAACAACCCAUAAUGCAAUAAAUAUCAAUAUAAAAGCAUGAUGCAAAAUGGACGUAUCAUCGUGCCGCCAUAACUCAUCUACUACUUCGCCCCUCUUGCUGGAUCAAGAAGGUGAGGACAUCAUCGAGCUGAACGUGUGCUGAAAACGGAGGUGCCGUACAUUCGGUACUUGAUUGGGACGGAUCAUGAAGGUGUACGAGUACAUCAACCACGUUGUUUAACGCUUCCGCUUAGCGAUUUACAAGGGUAUGUGGAUGCUCUCCCCCUCUCGUAGGUAUGCAUCUCUAUGGAUAGAUCUUGUGUGUGCAUAGAUUUUUUUUGUUUUCCAUGCAACAUUCCCAUCAGUGGCAUCAUGAGCCAGGUCUAUGCGUAGAUGAUAUGCACGAGUAGAACACAAUGGAGAUGUGGGCGGUGAUGUUCAUACCGCUUACCACAAUGUCUUAUUUUGAUUCGGCGGCAUUGUGGUAUGAAGCGACCCGGACCAACCUUACAUGUCCACGCACAUGAGACCAGUUGCACCGACUGACAUGCAACUAGUAUUGCAUAAAGGUGGCUGGUGGGUGUAUGUUUCUCCUACUUUAGUUGAAUCAAAGUUUACUAUAGCCGGUCCUUGCAGAAGGUUAAGACAACAAACUUGAUAAUCAUCGUUAGGGUUUUGUGUAGGUAAGAACAGUUCUUGCUAGUUGCCCAUAGCAGCCACGUAAAACUUGCAAACAACAGAGUAGAGGACAUCUAACUUGUUUUGUAGGGCAUGUUGUGAUGUGAUAUGGUCAAGAUAUGAUGUGAUAUAUGUUGAUGUAUGAGAUGAUCAUGUUUUCUAAUAAGUUCAUGACUUGCAUGUCGAUGAGCACGACAACCGGCAGGAGCCCUAGGGUUGUCUUUAAUUAUUGUAUGAUCUAUGUGUCAAUCCUUAAGCGCCAUGUAAUUGCUUUACUUUAUCGCUAGGCGUUAGCAAUAGUUGUAGAAGCAAUAGUUGGCGAGACGACCCUGGCGCUACGAUGGAGAUCAAGGUGUCGUGCCAGUGACGAUGGAGAUCAUACUGAUGCUUUGGAGAUGGAGAUCAAAAGCACAAUAUGAUUAUGGCCAUAUCAUGUCACAUAUUUUAAUUGCAUGCGAUGUUUAUCCUUUAUGCAUCUUAUUUUUCUUAGAACGAUGGUAGCAUUAUAAGAUGAUCCCUUCACUUAAUUUCAAGAUAAAAGUGUUCUCCUUGAGUAUGCACCGUUGCCAAAGUUCGUCAUUUCGAAGCACCUGAUGAUGAUCGGGUGUGAUAGACUCUACAUUCACGUACAAUGGGUGUAAGCCAGUUUUGCACAUGCAGAAUACUUGGGUUAAACUUGACGAGCCUAGCAUGUACAGACAUGGUCUCGGAACACUAGAGACUGAAAGGUCGAACGUGAGUCAUAUAGUAGAUAUGAUCAACAUAGAGAUGUUCACCAUUGAAGACUACCCCAUCUCACGUGAUGAUCGGACAAGGGUUAGUUGAUUUGGAUGACGUAUAACUUAGAUAACUUGAGGGAUGUUGAUUUAAGUGGAAGUUCAUUAGUAAUUUGAUUAUUUGAACUAAAAUUUAUCAUGAACUUAGUCUUAAUAGUUUUUUUGCAUAUCUAUGUUGUAGAUAAAUGGCCCAUGCUACUGUUCCCUUAAAGUUUAAUGCAUUCCUAGAGAAAGCUAAGUUGAAAGAUGAUGGUAGAAACUACAUGGACUAGGUCCAUAACUUGAGGAAUAUCCUCAUUGCUGCACGGAAGAAUUAUGUCCUUGAUGCACCGCUAGGUGACAGACCUUCUGCAGGAGCUACUGCAGAUGUUUUUAACAUCUGGCAAGCUCGAUCAAAUGACUACUCAAUAGUUCAAUGUGCCAUGCUUUAUGGCAUGGAACUGGGAAUUCAAAGGCGUUAUGAAUGCCACAUGGCAUAUGAGAUGUUCCAAGAACUGAAGUUGAUAUUUCAAGCAAAUGGCCGGGUUGAGAGAUAUGAAGUCUCCAAGAAGUUCUAUAGCUGUAAGAUGGAGGAGAACUGUUAUGUUAGUGAACACAUACUCAAAAUGUCUGGAUAUCAUAACCACUUGACUCAGCUGGGAAUUGAUCGAUCUUCAAGUUGAGAGUGUUAUUGAUAGAGUUUUUCAGUCACUUCCACUAAGCUACAAAGGCUUCGUGAUGAACUACAAUAUGCAAGGGAUGACGGAAAUGAUCCCCGAGCUCUUCGCGAUGCUGAAUCGGCGGAGGUAGAAAUCAAGAAGGAGCAUUAAGUGUUGAUGGUUAACAAGAUCACUAGUUUCAAGAAAAAGGGAAAGGGAAAGGGAAAGAAGGGGAAUUUGAACAAGAAUGGCAAGAAAGUUGCCACUCCCGGGGAGAAGCCCAAAGCUGGACCCAAGCCUGAAACUGAGUGCUUCUACUACAAAGGGACUGGUCACUGGAAGCGGAACUGCCCCAAGUAUUUGGCGGAUAAGAAGGAUGACAAAGUGAACAAAGGUAUAUUUGAUAUACAUGUUAUUGAUGUGUACCUUACUAAUGCUCGUAGUAGCGCCUGGGUAUUUGAUACUGGUUCGGUUGGUCAUAUUUGUAACUCGAAACAGGAGCUAUGGAAUAAACAAAGACUGGCUAAGGACGAGGUGAUGAUGUGCGUCGGGAAUGGCUCCAAGGUCGAUGUGAUCACCGUUGGCUCGCUGAUACGUCCAUUUUGCAUCAGGCUUUUAUAUUGAUAUUUAUUGCAUUAUAGGCUAUUAUUACACAUUAUGGUACAACUUAUGCAUUUUAUCCCUUAUUUUACAAGGGUUACACAAAGAGGGAGAAUGCCGACAGCUGUAAUUUUGGACCAGAAAGGAGCAAAUUUGAGAUCUAUUCUACACAACUCGAAAAGUCUUGGAAAUUUAUGGAGAAUUAUUUUGGAAUAUAUAGAAAAUAUUGGGCAAAGAAAAUAACAGAGGGGACAUACAAAGUGUUCACAAGCCUGGGGGGGCGCGCCCUUAGGGCUUGUGGCCCCCGGUAGGUCUCCGGUGCCCAUCUUCUGCUAUACGGAGGGUUUUGACCUAAAAAAAUCAGAACGAAGCUUUCGGUACGAAGCGCCGCAGUCUCGAGGCAGAACCUUGGGCAGAAGCAAUCUAGGGCUCCGGUGGAGCUGUUUUGCCAUAGAAACUUCCCUCCCAGAGGAGAAAUCAAAGCCAUCGUCAUCACCAACAAUCCUCUCAUCGAGAGGGGGACAAUCUCCAUCAACAUCUUCACCAGCACCAUCUCCUCUCAAACCCUAGCUCAUCUCUUGUAUCUGAUCUUUGUCUCAAAACCUCAGAUUGGUACCUGUGGGUUGCUAGUAUUGUUGAUUACUCCUUGUAGUUGAUGCUAGUUGGUUUAUUCGGUGGAAGAUCAUAUGUUCAGAUCCUUAAUAAUAUUUAUUACCCGCUUGUUAUUAACAUGUAUAUGCUUUGUGAGUAGUUACGUUUGUUCCUGAGGACAUGGGGGGAGUCUUGUUAUAAGUAAUCAUGUGAAUUUGGUAUUCGUUCAAUAUUUUGAUGAGAUGUAUGUCGUCUUUCCUUUAGUGGUGUUAUGUGCAUGUCGACUACAUGACACUUAACCAUGGUUUGGGCCUAGGUGAAGGCAUUGGGAAGUAAUAAGUAGAUGAUGGGUUGCUAGAGUGCCAGAAGCUUAAACCCUAGUUUAUGCGUUGCUUCGUAAGGAGCUGAUUUGGAUCCAUAUGUUUCAUGCUAUGGUUAGAUUUAUCUCAAUUCUUUUUUCUUAGUUGAGGAUGCUUGCAAGAGUGGUUAAUCAUAAGUGGGAGGCUUGUACAAGUAAGGAUAACAACCAAGCACCGGACCACCCACAUAUAAAAUUAUCAAAGUAACAAACGUGAAUCAUAUGAGCAUGAUGAAAACUAGCUUGACAAUAAUUCCCAUGUGUCCUCGGGAGCGCUUUGCUUUAUAUAAGAGUUUGUCCAGGCUUGUCCUUUGCUAUAACAAGGAUUGGGCCACCUUGCUGCACCUUAGUUACACUUGUUACUUGUUACCCAUUAUUAAUUAUCUUAUCAUAAAACUAUCUGUUAUCAAUAAUUUCAGUGCUUGUAGAGAAUACCUUGCUGAAACCCGCUUGUCAUUUCCUUGUGCUCCUCGUUGGGUUUGAUACUCUUACUUAUCGAAAGGACUAUGAUAGAUACCCUAUACCUGUGGGUCAUCAAGACUCUUUUCUGGCACCGUUGCCGGGGAGUGAAGUGCCUUUGGUAAGGAAAAACUUAUAUAGUGUGCUGAAAUUUACUGUCACUUGUUGCUAUGGAAAAUAAUCCUUUGAGGGGCUUGUUUGGGGUAUCUUCACCCCGACUGGAAGAGCAAAGAGUUUCACCUCAACCUAAUGAACCUACUGAAAAUAUUUAUUAUGAAAUUCCUUCGAGUAUGAUAGAGAAACUACCAGCUAAUCCUUAUGCAGGAGAUGGAACAUUACAUCCUGAUAUGCAUCUAAUCUAUGUGGAUGAAAUUUGUGGAUUAUUUUAGCUUGCAUGUUUGCCCGAGGAUGAUGUCAAAAAGAAGGUGUUCCCUUUAUCUUUGAAGGGAAAGGCAUUUACAUGGUAUAGGCUAUGCGAUGAUAUUCAGACUUGGAACUACAACAGAUUGAAAUUGGAAUUUCAUCAGAAGUUUUUCCUAUGCAUUGAUACGUCUCCAACGUAUCUAUAAUUUAUGAAGUAUUCAUGCCAAUAUAUUAUCAUUCUUUGAUGUUUUACAAUCAUUUUAUAGCAACUUUAUAUCAUUUUUUGAGACUAACCUAUUGACCCAGUGCCAAGUACCACUUGCUAUUUUUUGCUUGUUUUUUACAUCGCAGGAAAUCAAUAUCAAACAGAGUCCAAACACUGUGAAACUUUACGGAGAUUUUUUUGGACCAGAAGGAACCCAAUGGGCUAGAGCUCCACCUAGGGGGUGGGGUGCCCCGAGGGGGGCACAACCCAACAGGGCGCGCCAGGGCCCACUGGCGCACCCAGGUGUGUUGUGCCCACCUUGGUGGCCUCCCGCAUCCCCUCUUUGCACUAUAAAUUCCCAAAUAUUCCGAAACCCUUCAGGGUUACCUAGAUCAGAAGUUCCGCCACCGUAGGGCUCCAUAGCCACCGAAAACCAAUCUAGACCCAUUUCGACACCCUGCCGGAGGGGGGAAUCAUCUCCGGUGGCCAUCUUCAUCAUCCCGGCAGCCACCAUGAUGAGGAGGGAGUAGUCCACCCUCGGGGCUGAGGGUUUGUACAAGUAGCUAUGUGUUUAAUCUCUCUCCCUCUCUCGUGAUAUAUAUAUCAUGCACUUUGUUAAUAUAGUCGGAUCAUAUGAUGUUUCUCCCCUCUAUACUCUUGUUGUGAUGAAUUGAAUCUUUACCCUUUGAAGUUUUGUCUUGUCAGAUUGAAUAUUCAGAGAUGAGAACACAUGAUAUAUGUCUUGCGGUAUGAAUAGUUGAGGUGACAAUUGGGGUAUCUUAUUGAUUCACUUGAUAUAUGUUAGGGCAUUCAACUUGCUGAUUCCCGUGAUGAUAUUGGGGUAAUCUAUGCAUAUGGGUUGAUGCAUAUUUUUAUUAUCUUUUCUCUAACGGAAACUUUGGGGUAUCCUUGUAGUUCUUUGUGUGGAUUGAGUAUUAUGAAUAUGAAUAUGCUUUGGUGUUAUUCUAGUACGAACUCUAGGAUAGAUCGAACGGAAAAAAUAGCUUUGCGUUAUUUUAGUACGAACUCUUGAAUAGAUCGAACGGAAAUAAUAGCUUUGAGGUGGUUUAGUACCCUACAAACAAUUCCUAUCUUUUGUUCUCCGCUAAUAGGAACUAGGUAGUGAUUCUUCGUUACACUUUGGGGGAUAAUCAUAUGAUCCAACUCUGUUAGCACUCUUGAGAGAUUGCACUAGUGAAAGUACGGACCCUAGGCCUUGUUUUUAAGCAUUGCAAUACCAUUUUUGUGCCCGUUUACUAUUUGCUACCUUGCUAUUUUUAUUUAUUCAGAUUAUCAAAAUAUAUUUCUACCAUCCUUAUUACACUUUUAUCAUCAUCUCUUCGCCGAACUAGUGCUCCUAUACAAUUUGCCAUUGUAUUGGGUGUGUUGGGGACACAAGAGAUUUCUUGUAUUUGGUUGCAGGGUCGUUUGAGAGAGACCAUAUUCAUCCUACACCUCUCACGGAUUGAUAAACCUUAGGUCAUCCACGUGAGGGAAAAUUGCUACUGUCCUACAAAACUCCGCGCUUGGAGGCCCAACACGUGUCUACAAGAAUAAAGUUGCGUCAUAGACAUCAAGCACUUUUCUGGCGCCGUUGCCGGGGAGGUGAGUGCCUGAAGGUAUAUCUUUAGAUCAUGCAAUUGAAUCUUUUAGUUUCUGGAUUUAUCACUAGUUUGGUUUACAAAAGAAAACUACAAAAAAUGGAAUUGAGGUUGCAUCAUAUUAUCCAUCUUUGUAAUGUAUUUUGUGAAAAUGAUGGAAAGGAAAAUUGUGCUCAAUUGAUAGAAGAAGAAUUCAAUAGAAUGUUUGGUAUAAAUGAUGAGCAUGAUUGCAAUGUUGUUAGUAUGAAUUCUUUAAAUAUCCAUGAUGCUAAUGCUAUCCAAAGCCAUAAGCUUGGGGAUUCUAUGUUUGAUGAAGAUGAUAUUUUUAGUCCACCAAGAUUUGAUGUGCAAAUUUGUUAUAAUGAUUGCAUGCCUCCUAUUUAUGAUGAUUAUAUUGAUGUAAGUGGAUUCGGAGAUGUCAUGACUUUAUUUGAUGAUGAAUCCACUAUUUUGGAUGAGGCUUCAAUUGACUAUGAUAAAAAAGUUGCUACCUAUGAUGAUUAUGGUGAUGACAUGUAUGCUAUAAAUAAUAAUGAUAACCGUGAAACUUGUCAUCAUGAUUUUAAUUUUCAAUCACCUGAGAGUUAUUUUGUUGAUUGCUCCUACAAUUAUUGAUGAGUAUAAAUUUGCUUAUGUGGAGAGCAAUACAAUUUCUAUGCUUGUGAAUCAUGAAAAGAGUUCUUUAUGUGAUAGAUAUAUUGUUUAAUUCAUUCAUGAUGCUACUGAAAAUUAUUACGAGAGAGGAACAUAUGCUUGUAGGUAUUGCAAUAAUAUCAAGUUUCCUCUCUAUGUGUUGAAAAUCUUGAAGCUUUGCUUGUUAUGAUUUCCUAUGCUAGUUGAUUCUUGUUCCCAUAAAUUGUUUGCUCACAAAAUCCCUAUGCAUAGGAAGUGGGCUAGACAUAAAAUUUGCUUGUCAUGUGCUUCAUGGUGCUCUCUUUAUGUUUCAAUUCUUAUCUUUUAUGCGAGCAUCAAUGAAAUCAUCAUGCCUAGCUAAAAGGCAUUAAAGAAAAGUGCUUGUUGGGCGACAACCCAACACUUUUACCUACCGUUUUUGUGUGUAAUCAUGUUUUAUUGCUUUUGUUUCAAUAAAGUGCCAAGUAAGACCUUUGGGAUGGCUUACGGUGAUAGUUGAUUUGAUCUUGCUGAAAAACAGAAACUCUUGCGCUCAGGAAAACAUUUCUCUUUUUAACAUAAGUGCGAUAAAAUGCUGAUUCUUUUUUAAGAAUAUUAAUAGAAAAAUUGCUCAGGUUGUCCUAAUUUUUCAGAAUUUUUGGAGUGGCAGAAGUGUGGUUUGAAUACAGAUUACUACAGACUAUUUUGUUUUUGACAGAUUUUGUUUUCAAUGCAUAGUUUGCUUGUUUUCUAGUUUCUAUGGCUUAUAUUGCUCAAUAUAAAUUGUAGAAAUGAUAUGAUACAGUAGGCAUUGUGUGAGAACAAUUAUGAAUAUUGUCUUUGGGGGUACCAAAGGUGGAAUGGCUUGCUCUUUAUCAUACUAACCUAUCUCACAAAGUUCCGUUAAGUUUUGUGUGAUUGAAGUUUUCAUUUGGGUGAGAUGUCGAUAUGAGGAGAAUAAGGAGUGAAAAGAACCUAAGCUUGGGGAUUUCCAAGGCACCCCCAAGGAAAUAUUCAAGGAAUAUCCAAGCAACUAAGCUUGGGGAUGCCCUGGAAGGCAUCCAGGGCAUCCCCUCUUUCGUCUCCAACAUUACCGGUAACCUCACUUGGAGCUAUGUUUUCAUUCGUCACAUGAUAUAUGUUUUGCUUGCAGCAUCAAUUUAUUUUGUUAGUAUUUGCUUGCUGUUAUUUAUAAUAAAGUUUUGCAUCUUUUAUUUCAAUAAAAGUGGCAAUGAUAGCCUUUGCCAUGCUUAUUUUGCAAGUAUACAUGUUGCUGUUUGCAAACAUAAAGUUUACCGCUGUUGCAAAAAUUCCCUAGAAAAGUCAGAAUGUGAUAAAAUGUUGAAACCUUUUGCAAAAUGAGCUCUGAUAAAUUUUCUACAGGGUGGUAAAUUUUCAUAACUUUUGGAGUUAGGGAAUUAUAGAUACUCUUGCAUUCUAUACAGACUAUACUGUUUUGGCAGAUUGCUGUUAUGUUUGCAUUGUUUGCAUAUGUUUGCUUGUUUAAUGAUUCUAUUUGAGAAUAGGAGUAUUAAAUAUGCAGAGGCAUUUAGUAUGCAAUGUUGAAUAACAAUUUUAGUGAUUUGCUACAGUAGAGAAUUAUAAUGUUUUUGCAUUGGUUUAUACUAACUUAUCUCACGAGUUCUUGUUGAGUUUUGUGUGGAUGAAGCUUUUGAGAUUUAGGGAAACCGUGAUAUAAAAGGAAUUAAGGAGACACAAAAGCUCAGCCUUGGGGAUUCCCAAGGCACCGCAAAAUAAUAUUUCAAGAAGUCUCAAGCAUCUAAGCUAGGGGAUGCCCGAUAGGCAUCCCACCUUUCUUCUUCAACAAUUAUCGGUUAGUAUCGGUUGAGCCUAAGUUUUUGCUUCUUCACAUGGUGUGUGCUAUUCUUGGAUUGUAAUUUUAUUUUGUUUUUCUUGCUGUUUUAAGAAAAAACUUAGAUCUAAAAGUUUUUAAAUAAAAUAGAGUCCUCAAAUAGUUGCCAGGGAGGCUAAGUAAGCGACAUUCACAUCCCGUCAACAAAGCUCUUUUCUAUGUCAUUUACUCUUGUGCUUCACUUAUAUCCUAUGAGUAAAUUGUUGAAUAAAUUGAAUUUCAUGAAGUUGAAUUCAUAUCAUGCCUAGUGGUAGCUUCACAUUGGGUUUAGAAAGUGAAAUAUUUUGAGGCUUGACAAUCACAAUAUUGGUCAUACAAGCCAUUCACGGAUAAUCAGUAUAAGGAAGAGAACUUUCACAUGCAAAUACACUAACUGGAAAUCUUUUGUGUUUGUGAUCCCCCAUCAAAAUAUUAUAUGCCAAAGUUGUUGACAUUGGACAAGGAAGAUGUGACGCCCGGGUAAUCAAGCUAUAGUAACCCUGCCCUAAAGAUGCCACGUCACCUAGGUUACUGUUGGUAAACUCGUGUUAGUUCAAAACGAUUCAAAUUCAAAUUUAAAAUAUAGGCAAACAACAAAAGUUUUCAAAUAAUAAAACUAAAAUGUUCUGGUUGUGCCAAAUAAUGCGUAGGUAAUUAUGGUGGAGAAACCACACUUGUAUAAAAUAUGUAAAUACUCAAAAUGAAUAAAAUAGUAGCAAAAACAAUUAGUUAAAUGAUUAUAGAAUAAUAAACAAUUACAAAUGAUUUUAUAUUAGGUGCCAAGUUAAUUGCGGUAGCGGCAUAAGUAUUAAAAAUAUUUUAGGUGCAACUUGGGUUUUUCAUAAACACCGAAAUUUAAUAAAAUAGAAAAGAAGAAAAGAAAUAAAAUAGAAAAAAACAAACUAACAGAAAACUAAACUAAAACAAAAGAGACCCCCCCACUGGACCCCUUGGCCCAACUGGGCCAUGGCCCAGCCGGCCGCCCCCUGGCCUAUAGGCCACCCCACACCCCCAGAAACCCGAAUCCCCUCCCUCACAAUCCCCCGAUCCAGUCCCCUCCCCCUCUCCCCGAUCUAGGCGCCCCUCGCCCCGAGCACCAUCGCCGGUCGCCGACCGGUGGCUUCANNNNNNNNNNNNNNNNNNNNNNNNNNNNNNNNNNNNNNNNNNNNNNNNNNNNNNNNNNNNNNNNNNNNNNNNNNNNNNNNNNNNNNNNNNNNNNNNNNNNNNNNNNNNNNNNNNNNNNNNNNNNNNNNNNNNNNNNNNNNNNNNNNNNNNNNNNNNNNNNNNNNNNNNNNNNNNNNNNNNNNNNNNNNNNNNNNNNNNNNNNNNNNNNNNNNNNNNNNNNNNNNNNNNNNNNNNNNNGCCGCCCGGUGGCUUCACCGGCCGAGGCCACCUCGCCGCCGCCCGUCAUUGUCCCCCUCCCCACCGUCGCCGCCUCGCCUCCCUCGUCUCUCCCUCUCACCCGAUCCAGAUCGGAUCGGGCCGUCCCCGUUGGCGACGCCGCCGUUCACCAUCACCGGACCGCGCCGCACCGUGCUUGAGGACCGCCGCCUCCGCCCGCCCGCUCCUCCAGGGUCGCCGCACCGAACCUCUCCGUCGGAUCUCGACCUCGCCGGCGCCUCUUCCCCGCUGGCCUGCUUCUCCUCUCUGUCCCGGUCGUCUCUGUCGACCACCCCGACAACCGCUGCCAUUUCCCUACCGGCCUCGCAAGCCUCUCCCUCCCCUCCUCUUUGCUGCCGAAUCGCGCGCAUGCUCCGUCGUGGCCGCGCCCAUUCCCCUUUCCCCUCCGUCGCGCCGUACUGCCGCCCGCACCUCCGCGCGCGCCUGCGCCACGCCUAGCUGCGCCCCGUGCGCCCCAGGCGCGCCCCGUCCCUGAGCCCUGCCGCGCCCGGGCUCACCGCCUACCCGCGCGCACACGCCCCGCCGCCGCGUCCGCCUGCCUCCGCCGGCAGCCACCUCCACCCGCUCAUGCCCUGCCUCCCCUUGUGCCCCGUGCACCCUCCACCGUGCCGCCUAGCCCCGGUGCUGCCCCGACGUGGCCUCGCCGCGCCCGUGACUGGCGCCCCCCCUCGGUCUGUCGAUCUGGGCGCCAACGCCCGUUUAGCUCGCCCCGUUAGGCCCCUGGGCCAAUGGCACGUGGGGCCUGCCCCUGAGAACGUUUAUAAAAAAAGGAAAGAAAGAAUUGGAAUAAUAAUAAUAAUAAUAAUAAUUAAUUAAUUAAAGAAUUAAUUAACUUAAUUAAUUUUGAUCAAUUAAACUAAAACAACUAAUUAAGCCUAGCUAAUUAACCUAAACCCUAAUUAUCUAAACAGACAAUGACAGGGGGUCCCACCCCUGUUGACCAGUCAAAUGUUGACUGGUCAACUGGGUCCCCUUGGCCCACUUGUCAGCCUCUGUGUACAUUCUGUGUACACAGGGCUGGGUACCCAUAGCAUUUUGUCUAUUAAUUUUGAAUUAGUAAUAAUUUCAAAAAAUGAAUAAAACUUUGAAAAAUCAUAUAAAAUAAUCUGUAACUCAGAUGGAGAAACUUUGUACAUGAAAGUUGCUCAGAACGACGAGACGAAUUCGGAUACACAGCCCGUUCAUCCGCCACGCAUCCCUAGCAUAGCGAACACGCAACUUUCCCCCUCCGAUUCGUCUGUCCAAAAACGCGAAACAUCGGGGAUAAUUUCCCGGAUGUUUCCCCCCUUCACCGGUACCACCUCGUACCGUGUUAGGGCACACCUAGCAUCACACUUUGUCAUGUCAUGCAUCGUCAUGCAUUUGUUUGCAUUAUAUUUAUUGUUUCUUCCCCCUCUUCUCUCGCUAGACACCGAGACCGACGCCGCUGCUACCCAGUACGACUACGGUGUUGACGACCACUCUCUCUUGCCAGAGCAACCAGGCAAGCCCCCCCCCUUUGAUCACCAGAUAUCGCCUACUCUUUUCUCUAUACUGCUUGCAUUAGAGUAGUGUAGCAUGUUACUGCUUUCCGUUAUUCCUAUCCUGAUGCAUAGCCUGUCCUUGCUACUACUGUUGUUGCCAUUACCUGCUAUCCUACUGCAUAGUAUAGGAUGCUAGUGUUCCAUCAGUGGCCCUACACUCUUGUCCGUCUGCCAUGAUAUACUACUGGGUCGUGAUCACUUCGGGAGGUGAUCACGGGCAUAUACGAUAUACUUUACACAGUUACAUCACUUGUGAUACUAUUCGGAGAUGGGGGCUGAAGGGGCAGGUGGCUCCAUCCCGGUAGAGGUGGGCCUGUGUUCCCGACGGCCCCUGACUGUUACUUUGUGGCGGAGCGACAGGGCAGGUUGAGGCCACCUAGGAUAGAGGUGGCCUGGCCCUGGUCGGCGUUCGCGGAUACUUAACACGCUUAACGAGAUCUUGGUAUUUGAUCUGAGUCUGGCUACUAGCCUAUACGCACUAACCAUCUACGCGGGGACAGUUAUGGGCACUUGAUGUCGUGGUAUCAGCCGAAGCACUUCGUGACGCCAGCGACUGAGCGGCGCGCGCCGGGUUGGACCGUGUAACGUGACUUCCUUUGUAAUGGAGGUUGCUAGGUCUGCUCUCCGGCCGCGUACGCAACGUGCAGGUGUGCUAUGGGCGAUGGGCCCAGACCCCUAUGCGCUUAGGUUUAGACCGGCGUGCUGGCCUCUCUAUUGUGCCUAGCUGGGGUUGCGACAUGUUGAUCUUCCGCGGCCGGGCAUGACCCAGAAAAGUGUGUCCGGCCAAAUGGGAUCGAGCGUGUUGGGUUAUGUGGUGCACCCCUGCAGGGUAGUUAAUCUAUUCGAAUAGCCGUGAUCUUCGGUAACAGGACGACUUGGAGUUGUACCUUGACCUUAUGACAACUAGAACCGGAUAAUUAAUAAAACACACCCUUCCAAGUGCCAGAUACAACCGGUGAUCGCUCUCUCACAGGGCGACGAGGGGAGGAUCAUCGGUUAGGGUUAUGCUAUGCGAUGCUACUUGGAGGACUUCAGUCUACUCUCUUCUACAUGCUGCAAGAUGGAGGUGGCCAGAAGCGUAGUCUUCGACAGGAUUAGCUAUCCCCCCCUCUUAUUCUGGGUUUCUGCAGUUCAGUCCACCGAUAUGGCCCUUUACACCUUUAACCAUGCAUAUGUAGUGUAGCUCCUUGCUUGCGGGUACUUUGGAUGAGUACUCACGGUUGCUUUCUCCCUCUUUUCCCCCUAUCCCUUCUACCUGGUUGUCGCAACCAGAUGUUGGAGCCCAGGAGCCAGACGCCACCUUCGACGACGACUCCUACUACACCGGAGGUGCCUACUACUACGUGUUGCCCGCUGACGAUGACCAGGAGUAGUUUAGGAGGAUCCCAGGCAGGAGGCCUGCGCCUCUUUCGAUCUGUAUCCCAGUUUGUGCUAGCCUUCUUAAGGCAAACUUGUUUAACUUAUGUCUGUACUCAGAUAUUGUUGCUUCCACUGACUCGUCUAUGAUCGAGCUCUUGUAUUCGAGCCCUCGAGGCCCCUGGCUUCUAAUAUGAUGCUUGUAUGACUUAUUUUAUUUGUAGAGUUGUGUUGUGAUAUCUUCCCGUGAGUCCCUGAUCUUGAUCGUACACGUUUGCGUGUAUGAUUAGUGUACGGUCAGAUCGGGGGCGUCACAAGUUGGUAUCAGAGCCGACUGCCUGUAGGAAUCCCCCUUCCACACUCCUUGGCCGAAGUCGAGUCUAGACAUUACAAAACUUUUACUAACAUGGCUAUGUGUCUUACGGGCCCACGUCGCCAUUUGGGUGGUAUUAGGAUCUUUUACUCCUCGUCUAUACUCUGGGACUCUGAGCUCUCUUCUAUUCGCGUUAAAUGAUUUUGCAAAAAACUAAACUAACUUUAGGUUCUUGAUAAUACUUUCUUCCGGAGAGCCCCUCAGUUCAGAUGAUCGCCUGAUGCACUAGAAGAUUCCGAAGUUACUCUACGAUGUUCUGUCGUGUCUUUGUGACAUCACAUUUGCGAUUUUCUUCCACCAUCAACCCCUAUGAAAACUGCAUACACUUGCCAUUCAUACAAUCAUUCCCCGUUGAUCUUGUUAUUACAAUAUGUCCCGAAAUACUCUCUGUUGUUAUGAGAAUCCUUUGAGCUUAGUGCCUUGCUGUACUUUGUCACCUGAAUACCCCUACGGAUAAUUCUCGCACUUACCGAGUAUCCGCUCAUCCCCAGUUGAUUCAGGUAUUUCACACAAGUCUUCGUAAUACUGUUCGUUCUUCUGAAAAUCCUCUACAGCCUAAUGCUCUUGAAAUUCUUGAUUGCUUGCAUUAUGGUUAAUCCCAUAAGUCUAGUAAUCUUGUUGACAUCCAUUGUCAUUGUCAUUUUGAGUCCAUUGAUUUGAUUUGUUGCGAAUGCUCGCAAUCCUCAAAUAGAUCCUAGAAUUCAUCCUUCCGGCUCAGACGUUGUUUUAAUCAUGAACUGGUUCUCGCCAAUUAAAUUGUCGUCGAUUGUGCCCCUAAGUCUAUUGAACUUAUCCAUCCUUGAUCAGAGCGUCUGCUUCUGAUCCUUUGCUUUGUAAAUCAUAAUUCCUUAGCAAUUGAGCUCUAAGUUAUUCAAUUGUUUCUAUAAUCCAAUGUCUUUGCCUUGCUUCUUCCUCUGGUUGUGUGCUGAUACUCACCCCAGAUCCUUUGUUGGAUUUUAUCCGACAAUGUCCUUCAUAUUUAAUAACCUUGAGCCUUUCCUAGGAAAUAUACCGCCUUUGGUAAAUUGUAUCCCCUGCUUUGUCAACCAUGCUCUGCUAUCGAGCUUGUGUUAUUUACUCCUGAAGUUUGUGGUAUAUGUUCCUAAGAGGCCCCCAUGGGUUGGACAUAUGCCUUCUCUAAACUAUGCGAACCCGGAAACUACUACGGGUCAUACUCUACUAGUGUUAUGUCAGAUAAAAUUUCAACACACAAUUUCGUUGAAGGCGAGAAGUGAAUGAAAGGUUAUGCAUUAAAGAAGUGGGAGUCGACCUUGAACUUUGUGUUCAUGCCCAUGGACACGAUGUAGAUCCUAUCAUAGAAGCUUCUUGUAAUAAUAACUAUUUCCUUGAUAUGAAAUCAUCUGGUAUCUAUGUAUUGAUCAUUUGCAGUCGUGGUCCCGACCCCAUUUUCUCCUUGAUUCCAUUUCUCGGACAAGUUAAAGUACUUGCCUUUUGCAGAUCAAUACGCUUGCCCAACCUCUAUUUUGAUCUUCCUCGAGUAUUAACCUCUGGUAUCUCAAGAACUAUGUUGCUUCCUGCGAGUCUUCAUCUAGUAUUGCUUCUCAUCGAUCUCGGACCCCCCCAGGUUCUGGGUUAUUAGUCACUCGAGAACACCGAUAAGUGAAUCGAUUCCGCACUCCGAUUCAAUAACUCUAAGUAAUUCUUGUUGCUUACGAGUUUAAUAAUCCUUCAAGUCAUUCCUAGCCUUAUCGGCUAUAUCAUUAUCGUGCAAACUUCUAACUGUGCUACCUGGUCCUUUUUUGCCGGAGCACAAAAUUUUCGACGAUGAGCUAAGCUUACGUCGAUCUUCCUCGUCAUAUCAGUUCGCCUUGAACAACAAUCUUGAUUUCAAGUUUGUGUCCUACCCAUGGUUCCAAUAACCUUCCGCUACCUCAUUCCUUUGACUUGAUAUCGUCGCUGAUUGAUUACAUCUUCAUGAAAUCUCUCGACAAAUGUGUCGUGAUCAUCACCAACCUUAUGAGCUCUUCCAGGAUAUCAAUUGAGUUCAUGAUGAGAAAUACCAUCCUUGCCCUUGGUGAUUUGUGUUAUCAUCGACCACUUUAUUGCCUUCCCACCAACACAAGCUUGUUCGUGUUUGGUGAUAUACCUUGAGUUCCUUGCUAUCCAGUAAUUGUCCUUCUUUACCUUGGAACAUUAACAUCUCUUAUGUCCUCAAUGUUGUGAGAAUUUCACCACCUCUGGAGAAUUCUUGAUACAAGUGAUACUUAUCACCAUCACCAUUCCUUUCCUGGUCACCGUGUUAUUUCUAACCACCGACAAAUGCACUAUGAUGUGAAAAAUUCAAAACUUCUAGCAACCCUAUUGCCUGUAAGUUAACGGUCGAUAGUUCAUUCUACUUCUUUUGUCAUUUAGUCACCAUUCAGACAUUGAUCGUGCGACCAGCCCAUGUUUCGGGUGCACCUUUCAAUCAAUGUUCAAUUGAGUAUGCUUUCCUCUAGCACACCAUUAUAUCAUUUGAUCUGACAAAUGUUAUCUCCUUGUUCACAUAACUGUGGAAAUCCACCUUUUUGGAAAUCUCGAGGAUUUUCGCUGAUUCCAUCAGCUACCCCCUCGUCCUCUCCUUGAUUUAAUGAUGAGCUCUUGUUUCAGAACUUGCUCCCAUAGUUCAUUUCCGAGAAUCUUACAUGGUCAUCUCGUCAAUUUGUGUUGCAUCUUUUCUUCUCAAGUAUCCUGAGUCUGAGUUAUCCUAACACCAAUCAGAUCUGAAUCUCGGUCAGAUAUGAUGGUUGGAACAUAAUUCCAAGAGUUCUAACGUUGGUAUUUAUGUGACACGGUGAGAUCAUGUCAUGCCUAGCACACCUAGCCGGAGGACCUAUUGUUAUAGUUUCCUUUUAGCAAGGUUAUCUAUUCUUCCAUGAGGAUGUGGUUAGACUUAUUCUAUAAGUUGUUCCUGAUGAAUCCAUUGAGUAUCAAAGUCUGAUUUUUUUAAGACCAUGUCAAUGCUAUCUCGAAGCAUGUCUAUGGUACUCCAAUUUUCAAUAAAAACAUUUGAAGCACAAUGCUAAAUUUUCCUUAUCAAUUAUCCAAACACCGUUGUAUGGGUACUAUCAUGAGAUUCCUCCCCCUUACCUAAAUGGUUUUCUACAUUAUAUCUUGUCCUGGAUAUCAUGCUCUUCUUGUCCUUGGGAAGGAUAUACCCUUUAAUUAGGUGUUUAAACACAUUUUUCUUUCCAUUGUUCUGUUUAAUCUGAUGAUCACAUUUUCCUUUCCAUUGUUUUGUUUAACCUUUCUUGUGAUCUGUAUGAUCUAAGCAGCAAUAUUCUCCUGCUUUUGUAAACACCUCAGUGUACAAUUCUGUCAGAAAGACCCUGAUACUUUUGAUUGAUGACAUUCCGUCAACCACCAAUGGUCGAGAACUUUGCCAAUUGUUUCGCCUCGUUCAACAAGUAGGAAAAUGGCUCUCUUUGUUCCCCGUCCUUGGUACCGACAUUGUUGCCGGCAUAGCUGACAAGCUAUUCACUGACAUACCUCCCUGUCGCGGCUGUGUAAGAUGUCACCUCCCUUCCUACUUUCAACCCAUAUGGUGGGCCCAUAAACCACAGGUCCACACUGGAUCGAAACCUGACUCCUCUUUACAACCCGGAUUCGAAUGUAUCCUUUGCACCUGGCUUCGUAUGUGAUUGACGAGCUAAAUUCUAUACCAUUAUUCAUCCUAGAAUCAAACACCAUGUUAUUCUUGUUGUUCAAGCCCCCAUUCCAGCUUCUGUCUAGGCAUCGAAUGAUUGCCUGCCCAUUUGAAACUUUGGUACCAUCGUAUAUUGCACUCAAGGGAUUCACUGAAAUACAACUCAUCAGGUACCUUGUGUAUUUCCCAUUGAGUUCACCGUCUGAUACCCAGCUUGGUGGAGAUGUGUUCUUCCGGAGUAUUUCCCCCUGGCCGCGUUUGUAGGACACUGGAGAUCCUGAAGAAAGGAUGACGACUUGAUCAUGGUGACUUGAAGCAGAGAAAUGAAGACAUCAACGAAAGGGAUCAACCUCUUCGAAAGGGCAGCCAAGACCGAGAAGACUCGUUAGGUUUUUCACUACCAGCACCUCCCCCCCCCUUAGUCCACCGCUUAAAUCUCGGGACGAGAUUCUUGUAGUGGAGGAGAAUUGUGACGCCCGGGUAAUCAAGCUACAAUAACCCUGCGCUAAAGAUGCCACGUCACCUAGGUUACUGUUGGUAAACUCGUGUUAGUUCAAAGCGAUUCAAAUUCAAAUUUAAAAUAUAGGCAAACAACAAAAGUUUUCAAAUAAUAAAACUAAAAUGUUCUGGUUGUGCCAAAUAAUGCGUAGGUAAUUAUGGUGGAGAAACCACACUUGUAUAAAAUAUGUAAAUACUCAAAAUGAAUAAAAUAGUAGCAAAAACAAUUAGUUAAAUGAUUAUAAAAUAAUAAACAAUUACAAAUGAUUUUAUAUUAGGUGCCAAGUUAAUUGCGGUAGCGGCAUAAGUAUUAAAAAUAUUUUAGGUGCAACUUGGGUUUUUCAUAAACACCGAAAUUUAAUAAAANNNNNNNNNNNNNNNNNNNNNNNNNNNNNNNNNNNNNNNNNNNNNNNNNNNNNNNNNNNNNNNNNNNNNNNNNNNNNNNNNNNNNNNNNNNNNNNNNNNNNNNNNNNNNNNNNNNNNNNNNNNNNNNNNNNNNNNNNNNNNNNNNNGCCGCCCGGUGGCUUCACCGGCCGAGGCCACCUCGCCGCCGCCCGUCAUUGUCCCCCUCCCCACCGUCGCCGCCUCGCCUCCCUCGUCUCUCCCUCUCACCCGAUCCAGAUCGGAUCGGGCCGUCCCCGUUGGCGACGCCGCCGUUCACCAUCACCGGACCGCGCCGCACCGUGCUUGAGGACCGCCGCCUCCGCCCGCCCGCUCCUCCAGGGUCGCCGCACCGAACCUCUCCGUCGGAUCUCGACCUCGCCGGCGCCUCUUCCCCGCUGGCCUGCUUCUCCUCUCUGUCCCGGUCGUCUCUGUCGACCACCCCGACAACCGCUGCCAUUUCCCUACCGGCCUCGCAAGCCUCUCCCUCCCCUCCUCNNNNNNNNNNNNNNNNNNNNNNNNNNNNNNNNNNNNNNNNNNNNNNNNNNNNNNNNNNNNNNNNNNNNNNNNNNNNNNNNNNNNNNNNNNNNNNNNNNNNNNNNNNNNNNNNNNNNNNNNNNNNNNNNNNNNNNNNNNNNNNNNNNNNNNNNNNNNNNNNNNNNNNNNNNNNNNNNNNNNNNNNNNNNNNNNNNNNNNNNNNNNNNNNNNNNNNNNNNNNNNNNNNNNNNNNNNNNNNNNNNNNNNNNNNNNNNNNNNNNNNNNNNNNNNNNNNNNNNNNNNNNNNNNNNNNNNNNNNNNNNNNNNNNNNNNNNNNNNNNNNNNNNNNNNNNNNNNNNNNNNNNNNNNNNNNNNNNNNNNNNNNNNNNNNNNNNNNNNNNNNNNNNNNNNNNNNNNNNNNNNNNNNNNNNNNNNNNNNNNNNNNNNNNNNNNNNNNNNNNNNNNNNNNNNNNNNNNNNNNNNNNNNNNNNNNNNNNNNNNNNNGCGUCCGCCUGCCUCCGCCGGCAGCCACCUCCACCCGCUCAUGCCCUGCCUCCCCCAGCGCCCCGUGCACCCUCCACCACGCCGCCUAGCCCCGAUGCUGCCCCGACGUGGCCUCGCCGCGCCCGUGACUGGCGCCCCCCUCGUUCUGUCGAUCUGGGCGCCAACGCCCGUUUAGCCCGCCCCGUUAGGCCCCUGGGCCAAUAACACGUGGGGCCCGCCCCUGAGAACGUUUAUAAAAAAGGAAAGAAAGAAUUGGAAUAAUAAUAAUAAUAAUAAAUAAAUAAAUAAUUAAAGAAUUAAUUAACUUAAUUAAUUUUGAUCAAUUAAACUAAAACAACUAAUUAAGCCUAGCUAAUUAACCUAAACCCUAAUUAUCUAAACAGACAAUGACAGGGGGUCCCACCCCUGUUGACCAGUCAAAUGUUGACUGGUCAACUGGGUCCCCCUGGCCCACUUGUCAGCCUCUGUGUACAUUCUGUGUACACAGGGCUGGGUACCCAUAGCAUUUUGUCUAUUAAUUUUGAAUUAGUAAUAAUUUCAGAAAAUGAAUAAAACUUUGAAAAAUCAUAUAAAAUAAUCUGUAACUCGGAUGGAGAAACUUUGUACAUGAAAGUUGCUCAGAACGACGAGACGAAUUCGGAUACGCAGCCCGUUCAUCCGCCACGCAUACCUAGCAUAGCGAACACGCCACUUUCCCCCUCCGGUUCGUCUGUCCGAAAACGCGAAACACCGGGGAUAAUUUCCCGGAUGUUUCCCCCCUUCACCGGUACCACCUCGUACCGCGUUAGGGCACACCUAGCAUCACGCUUUGUCAUGUCAUGCAUCGUCAUGCAUUUGUUUGCAUUAUAUUUAUUGUUUCUUCCCCCUCUUCUCUCGCUAGACACCGAGACCGACGCCACUGCUACCCAGUACGACUGCGGUGUUGACAACCACUCUCUCUUGCCAGAGCAACCAGGCAAGCCCCCCCUUUGAUCACCAGAUAUCGCCUACUCUUUUCUCUAUACUGCUUGCAUUAGAGUAGUGUAGCAUGUUACUGCUUUCCGUUAUUCCUAUCCUGAUGCAUAGCCUGUCCUUGCUACUACUGUUGUUACCAUUACCUGCUAUCCUACUGUAUAGUAUAGGAUGCUAGUGUUCCAUCAGUGGCCCUACACUCUUGUCCGUCUGCCAUGCUAUACUACUGGGCCGUGAUCACUUCGGGAGGUGAUCACGGGCAUAUACGAUAUACUUUACACAAUUACAUUACUUGUGAUACUGUUCGGAGAUGGGGGCUGAAGGGGCAGGUGGCUCCAUCCCGGUAGAGGUGGGCCUGGGUUCCCGACGGCCCCCGACUGUUACUUUGUGGCGGAGCGACAGGGCAGGUUGAGGCCACCUAGGAGAGAGGUGGCCUGGCCCUGGUCGGCGUUCGCGGAUACUUAACACGCUUAACGAGAUCUUGGUAUUUGAUCUGAGUCUGGCUACUGGCCUAUAUGCACUAACCAUCUACGCAGGGACAGUUAUGGGCACUCGACGUCGUAGUAUCAGCCGAAGCACUUCGUGACGCCAGCGACUGAGCAGCGCGCGCCGGGUUGGACCGCGUAACGUGACUUCCUUUGUAAUGGAGGUUGCUAGGUCUGAUCUCUGGCCGCGUACGCAACGUGCAGGUGUGCUAUGGGCGAUGGGCCCAGACCCCUGUGCGCUUAGGUUUAGACCGACGUGCUGGCCUCUCUGUUGUGCCUAGGUGGGGCUGCGACGUGUUGAUCUUCCGCGGCCGGGCAUGACCCAGAAAAGUGUGUCCGGCCAAAUGGGAUCGAGCGUGUUGGGUUAUGUGGUGCACCCCUGCAGGGAAGUUAAUCUAUUCGAAUAGCCGUGAUCUUCGGUAAUAGGACGACUUGGAGUUGUACCUUGACCUUAUGACAACCAGAACCGGAUACUUAAUAAAACACACCCUUCCAAGUGCCACAUACAACCGGUGAUCGCUCUCUCACAGGGCGACGAGGGGAGGAUCAUCGGUUAGGGUUAUGCUAUGCGAUGCUACUUGGAGGACUUUAGUCUACUCUCUUCUACAUGCUGCAAGAUGGAGGUGGCCAGAAGCGUAGUCUUCGACAGGAUUAGCUAUCCCCCCUCUUAUUCUAGCUUUCUGUAGUUCAGUCCACCGAUAUGGCCCUUUACACCUUUAACCAUGCAUAUGUAGUGUAGCUCCUUGCUUGCGGGUACUUUGGAUGAGUACUCACGGUUGCUUUCUCCCUCUUUUCCCCCUAUCCCUUCUACCUAGUUGUCGCAACCAGAUGUUGGAGCCCAGGAGCCAGACGCCACCUUCGACGACGACUCCUACUACACCGGAGGUGCCUACUACUACGUGCUGCCCGCUGACGACGACCAGGAGUAGUUUAGGAGGAUCCCAAGCAGGAGGCCUGUGCCUCUUUCGAUCUGUAUCCCAGUUUGUGCUAGCCUUCUUAAGGCAAACUUGUUUAACUUAUGUCUGUACUCAGAUAUUGUUGCUUCCGCUGACUCGUCUAUGAUCGAGCUCUUGUAUUCGAGCCCUCGAGGCCCCUGGCUUGUAAUAUGAUGCUUGUAUGACUUAUUUUAUUUGUAGAGUUGUGUUGUGAUAUCUUCUCGUGAGUCCCUGAUCUUGAUCGUACACGUUUGCGUGUAUGAUUAGUAUACGGUCAGAUCGGGGGCGUCACAGAAGACAAUAUAAUGGUUUAUGUUUGUUCAUAUUCACAUAGAAGUUAUAUUGGCAUAGAUCCUUCAACAUGUGGUGCUUGCCCCCCAUCUUUGGUAGCCAAAAAUUCUGCACCAAGUAGAGAUACUACUUGUGCAUCCAAAAACCCUUAAACCCAAAUCUUAUUUUCAUGAGUCCACCAUACCUACCUAAGGAUUGAGCAAGAUCCUUCAAGUAAGUUGCCAUCGGUGCAAUAAGGCAAUAAAAAUUUCUUCUAAAAGUGUGAGAUCAUUUAGUGUAAGAGAAAAUUGAGCAUCGUACGAACUUGUGAUGGCAAAGUAAUAAAAGCGACAGACUGCAUAAUUAAGGUUGCUAUCAUAAGGGGCAAUAUAAUGUGAUGUUCUUUUGCACUAAGGGGUUGAGCAUACAAACAAAUAAGCGCAUGGCAACCUCUGCUUCCCUCUGUGAAGGGCCUAUCUUUUACUUUUCAGUAUUUACUUUUAUGCAAAGAGUCAAAGUAUUCCUCUCUAUUCCUUUUUAGUUUUCUCUUUUGGCAACCAUCAUGUGGUGAGGAAAGAUCUAGGCACAUAUGUCCAGUUGAAUAUGGGUAGCAUGAGUUAUUAUUGUUGACAUCACCCUUGAGGUGAAUACGUUGGGAGGCAAAAUUGUAAGUCCCUAUCUUUCUAUGUGUCUGGUUGAAACAUUUUGCUCAUGUGUAUGCAGUGAGUGUUAGCAAUAAUAGAAGACUAUAUAAUGGUUGAGUAUGUGGAUCUCUUACUUAAACUCCAUUGAAUAAGUUGAAUUUCAAUUGCUUGGUGACUAAGAACAUAGGUUGUUGGGUUUCAAGAGAAUUCAUUGUUUGAACCUUAACAUGUGAAUUGGUUGCCACUAUAACAUGAGAAGUUUCAUAAGAAAGGAUUGUUGUUAUGAUGCGGAAAAGUGAUUGAAAUAAUCAUUGAUCAAACUUAUGCACUUUGCUAGCAUUCACACUUCAUAAAUUAUUUCUUUUAUCAUUUACCUACUCGAGGACGAGUAGGAAUUAAGCUUGGGGUUGCUGAUACGUCUCCAACGUAUCUAUAAUUUAUGAAAUAUUCAUGCCAAUAUAUUAUCCUUCUUGGAUGUUUUACAAUCAUUUUAUAGGAACUUUAUAUCAUUUUUUGGGACUAACCUAUUGACCCAGUGCCAAGUGCCAGUUGCUGUUUUUUUGCUUGCUUUUUACAUUGCAGGAAAUCAAUAUCAAACGGAGUCCAAAAGCCGCGAAACUUUACGGAGAUUUUUUUGGACCAGAAGGAACCCAAUAGGCCAGAGCUGCACCUCGGGGGUGCCCCGAGGGGGCACAACCCACCAGGGCGCGCCAGGGCCCACUGGCGCACCCAGGUGAGUUAUGCCCACCUCGGUGGCCUUCCGCAUCCCCUCUUUGCACUAUAAAUUCCCAAAUAUUCCGAAACCCUUUAGGGUUAACCUAGAUCAGAAGUUCCGCCACCGUAGGGCUCCAUAUCCACCGAAAACCAAUCUAGACUCGUUUCGGCACCCUGCCGGAGGGGGGAAUCAUCUCCGGCGGCCAUCUUCAUCAUCCCGGCAGCCACCACGAUGAGGAGGGAGUAGUCCACCCUCGGAGCUGAGGGUUUGUACCAGUAGCUAUGUGUUUAAUCUCUCUCUCUCUCUCUCGUGAUCUAUAUCAUGGGCUUUGUUAAUAUAGCCGGAUCAUAUGAUGUUUCUCCCCUCUAUACUCUCGAUGUGAUGAAUUGAAUCUUUACCCUUUGAAGUUUUGUCUUGUUGGAUUGAAUAUUCAGAGAUGAGAACACAUGAUAUAUGUCUUGCAGUAUGAAUACUUGAGGUGACAAUUGGGGUAUCUUAUUGAUUCACUUGAUAUAUGUUAUGGCAUUCAACUCGCGGAUUCCCGCGGUGAUAUUGGGGUAAUCUAUGCAUAGGGGUUGAUGCACAUUUUUAUUAUCUUUUCUCCAACGGAAACUUUCAGGUCUCCUUGUAGUUCUUUGUGUGGAUUGAGUAUUAUGAAUAUGAAUAUGCUUUGGUGUUAUUCUAGUAUGAACUCUAGGAUAUAUCGAACAGAAAAAAUAGCUUUGCGUUAUUUUAGUACGAACUCUUCAAUAGAUCAAACGGAAAUAUUAGCUUUGAGGUGGUUUAGUACCCUACAAACAAUUCCUAUCUUUUGUUCUCCGCUAAUAGGAAGUAGGGAGUGAUUCUUCGUUACACUUUGAGGGAUAAUCAUAUGAUCCAACUAUGUUAGCACUGUUGAGAGAUUACACUAGUGAAAGUACGGACCCUAGGCCUUGUUUUUAAGCAUUGCAAUACCAUUUUUGUGCCCGUUUACUAUUCGCUACCUUGCUGUUUUUAUUUAUUCAGAUUAUCAGGAUAGAUUUCUACCAUCCGUAUUACACUUUUAUCACCAUCUCUUCGCCGAACUAGUGCACCUAUACAAUUUGCCAUUGUAUUGGGUGUGUUGGGGACACAAGUGAUUUCUUGUAUUUGGUUGCGGGGUCAUUUGAGAGAGACCACCUGCAUCCUACACCUCUUACAGAUUGAUAAACCUUAGGUCAUCCACUUGAGGGAAAAUUGCUACUAUCCUACAAAACUCUGCGCUUGGAGGCCCAACAUGUGUUUACAAGAAUAAAGUUGCGUAGUAGACAUCAUGCAUCUAGUUCAUCGUGAUCAGAAUUAUGUUUAUAAUUUUUGCCCUCGUGAAGGAUAAAGUAUUGCUCAAGCUUGGGGGAGGCUUAAGUCAAUGUUAUAUACAUGCCCCAAUCAUGAGCUCUCAAGAGAAAUUAUUAUUCAGAAUUUUAUGCUCGACUUUCUCGUAAUUGUUGGGGAACGUAGCAUGCAAUUUCAAAAAAAAUCCUAUGGUCACGCAAGAUCUAUCUAGGAGAUGCAUAGCAAUGAAAGGGGGAGAGUGUGUCCACGUACCCUCGUAGACCGAAAGCGGAAGCGUUAGCUUAAAGCGGUUGAUGUAGUCGAACGUCUUCUCGAUUCAACCGAUCAAGCACCGAACAUAUGGUACCUAAGAGUUCUCCACACGUUCAGCUCGAUGACGUCCCUCGAACUCUUGAUCCAGCAAAAUGUCGAGGGAGAGUUUCAUCAGCACAAUGGCGUGGUGACGGUGAUGGUGAAGUGAUCCGCGCAGGGCUUCGCCUAAGCACUAUGACAAUAUGACCGGAGGAGUAAACGGUGGAGGGGGGCACCGCACAUGGCUAAGAACAAUUGAUGUGUCUUACAGGUGCCCCACCCCCGUAUAUAAAGGAGGGAGAGGGGAAGAGGCCGGCCUAGGGCGCGCCAAGUGGGAGGAGUCCCGCUUGGAACCCUAGUCCAAUUCGGACCCCUUUCCUUUUACCGGAAGGGGUAAGGGGAAGUAGAGGGAGGAGGAUAAGGAAAGGGGGGCCGCGCCCCCUCCCCUAGUCCAAUUCAGACUCCAUCCUUGGGGGGCACCCCUUGUGGGCUGCAUUACCUCCCUCCUAUGGCCCAUGUGGCCCAUAUCUUCCCCCGGCGGGUUCCGGUAACCCCCCGGUACUCUGAUACAUACCCGAUACUUUCCAAAAUACUUCUGGUAUCCGAAUACUAUCGUCCAAUAUAUAAACCUUUACCUCUUGUCUAUUUCGAGACUCCUUGUCAUGUCUGUGAUCUCAUCCGGGACUCCAAACAAUCUUCAGUCACCAAAACACAUAACUCAUAAUACAAAUCGUCAUCGAACAUUAAGCAUGCGGACCCUACGGGUUCGAGAACUUUGUAGACAUGACCGAGACAUAUCGCCGGCCAAUAACCAAUAGCGGAACCUGGAUGCUCAUACUAAAGAAAGCAUCAUUCUCAUAGUCAAAGGAAUAUGUAUAAGUCAUGAAGAAAGCAAUAACAAUAAAACUUAACGAUCAUUAUGCUAAGCUAACGGAUGGGUCUUGUCCAUCACAUCAUUCUCCUAAUGAUGUGAUCCCGUUCAUCAAAUCACAACACAUGUCUAUGGUUAGGAAACUUAACCAUCUUUGAUUAACGAGCUAGUCUAGUAGAAGCUUACUAGGGACACUGUGUUUUGUCUAUGUAUCCACACAUGUAUCAAGUUUCCGGUUAAUACAGUUCUAGCAUGAAUAAUAAACAUUUAUCAUGAUAUAAGGAAAUAUAAAUAACAACUUUAUUAUUGCCUCUAGGGCGUAUUUCCUCCGGUCUCCCACUUGCACUAGAGUCAAUAAUCUAGUUCACAUCAUCAUGUGAUUUAACACCAAUAGUUCACAUCUUUAUGUGAUUAACACCUGUAGAUCACAUCCCAUGUGACCAACACUCAAAGGGUUUGCUAGAGUAAAUAAUCUAGUUCACAUCGCUAUGUGAUUAACACCGAAAGAGUACUAAGGUGUGAUCAUGUUUUGCUUGUGAGAGAAUUUUUAGUCAACGGGUCUGCCACAUUCAGAUCCAUAUGUAUUUUGCAAAUUUCUAUGUUUACAAUGCUCUACAUGGAGCUACUCUAGCUUAUUGCUCCCACUUUCAAUAUGUAUCCAGAUCGAGACUUAGAGUCAUCCAGAUCGGUGUCAAAGCUUGCAUCGACGUAACUCUUUAUGAUGAACUCUUUAUCACCUCCAUAACCGAGAAAUAUUUUCUUAGUCCUCUAAGGAUAAUUUUGACCGCUGUCUGUGAUCUACUCUUGGAUCACUAUUGUACCCCCUUGCCAAACUCAUGGCAAGGUACACAAUAGGUCUGGUACAUAGCAGGGCAUACUUUAUAGAACCUAUGGCUGAGGCAUAGGGAAUGACUUUCAGUCUCUCUCCAUCUUAUGCCGUGGUCGGGCUUUGAGUCUUACUCAACUUCACUCCUUACAAUACAUGCAAGAAUUCUUUCUUUGACCGAUACAUUUUGAACUUCAUCAAAAUCUUGUCAAGGUAUGUGCUUUGUGAAAGUCCUAUUAAGCGUCUUGAUCUAUCCCUAUAGAUCUUGAUGCCCAAUAUAUAAGUAGCUUCACCGAGGUCUUUCAUUUAAAAAUUCUUAUUCAAAUAUCCUUUUAUGCUAUGCAGAAAUUCUAUAUCAUUUCCAAUAAAUAAUAUGUCAUCCACAUAUAAUACCAGAAACGCUAUAGAGCUCCCACUCACUUUCUUGUAAAUACAGGUUGCACCGUAAGUCUGUAUAAAACCAUAUGCCUUGAUCACCUCAUCAAAGCGUAUAUUCCAACUCCGAGAUGUUUGCACCAGUCCAUAGAUGGAUCGCUGGAGCUUGCACACUUUGUCAGCACCUUUAGGAUUGACAAAAAACCUUCUAGUUGCAUCAUAUACAACUCUUCUUUAAGAAAUCCAUUAAGGAAUGCAGUUUUGACAUCUAUUUGCCUGAUUUCAUAAAAUUUGGUAAUUGCUAAUAUGAUUCGGACAGACUUAAGCACCGCUAGGAGUGAGAAAAUCUCAUCGUAGUCAACACCUUGAACUUGUCGAAAAACCUUUUGCUACAAGUCAAGCUUUGUAGAUAUUAACACUACCAUCAGUGUCCGUCUUCCUCUUGAAGAUCCAUUUAUUCUCAAUGGCUUGCCGAUCAUCGGGCAAGUCCACCAAAGUCCACACUUUGUUCUCAUACAUGGAUCCUAUCUCAGAUUUCAUGGCUUUAAGCCAUAUGUCGGAAUCUAGGCUCAUCAUAGCUUCUUCAUAGUUUGUAGGUUCGUCAUGGUCUAGUAACAUGACUUCCAGAACAGGGUUACUGUACCACUCUGGUGCGGAACGUGCUCUGAUUGACGUACAAGGUUUGGUAGUAAUUUGAUCUGAAUUUUCAUGAUCAUCAUCAUUAGCUUCCUCUCUAUUUGGUGUAGGCAUCACGGGAACAGAUUUCUCUGAUGUGCUACUUUCCAUAUUGAGAGAAGGUACAAUUACCUCAUCAAGUUAUACUCUCCUCCCACUCACUUCUUUCGAGAGAAACUCCUUCUCUAGAAAGGAUCCAUUCUUAGCAACAAAAAUCUUGCCUUUGGAUCUGUGAUAGAAGGUGUACACAACAGUUUCUUUUGGGUAUCCUAUGAAGACACACUUCUCCGAUUUGGGUUCGAGCUUAUUAGGCUGAAACUUUUUUACAUAAGCAUCGCAACCCCAAACUUUAAGAAAUGACAACUUAGGUUUCUUGCCAAACCAUAGUUCAUACGGUGUCAUCUCAACGGAUUUAGACGGUGCCCUAUUUAUCAUGAAUGCAGCUUUCUCUAAUGCAUAACCUCAAAACAAUAGUGGAAAAUCAGUAGGAGACAUCGUAGAUCGCACCAUAUCUAAUAAAGUACGGCUACAAUGUUCGGACACACCAUUACACUGUGGUGUUCUAGGUGGCAUGAGUUGUGAAACUAUUCCACAUUGUUUUAAAUGAAGGCCAAACUCAUAACUCAAAUAUUCGCCUCCGCGAUCAUAUCGUAGAAACUUUAUUUUCUUGUUACGAUGAUUCUCCACUUCACUCUGAAAUUCUUUGAAGUUUUCAAAUGUUUCAGACUUGUGUUUCAUCAAGUAGAUAUACCCAUAUAUGCUCAAAUCAUCUGUGAAGGUCAGAAAAUAACGAUACCCGCCGCGAGCCUCAACACUCAUUGGACUGCAUACUUCGGUAUGUAUUACUUCCAAUAAGUUAGCGGCUCACUCCAUUGUUCCAGAGAACGAAGUCUUAGUCAUCUUGCGCAUGAGGCAUGUUUUGCAAGCACCAAAUGAUUCAUAAUUAAGUGAUUCCAAAAGUCCAUCUGCAUGGAGAUUCUUCAUGCGCUUUACACCAAUAUGACCUAAACGGAAGUGCCACAAAUAUGUUGCCCUAUUAUUAUCAACUUUGCAUCUUUUGGCAUAAAUAUUAUGAAUAUCUAUAUCACUACGAUCGAGAUUCAAUAAACCAUUUAUAUUGAGUUUAUGACCAUAGAAGGUUUUAUUCAUGUAAACAGAAUAACAAUUAUUCUUUGACUUAAUGAAUAACCGUAUUGCAAUAAACAUGAUCCAAUCAUAUUCAUGCUCAAUGCAAACACCAAAUAACAUUUGUUUUAGGUUUAACACUAACCCCGAAGGUAAAGGGAGUGUGCGAUGGUGAUCUUAUCAACCUUGGAAUCACUUCCAACAUACAUCGUCACCUUGCCCUUAACUAGUAUCUGUUCAUUUUGCAACCCAUGUUUCGAGUUACAAAUAUUAGCAACUGAACCGAUAUCAAAUACCCAGGGGCUACUAUGAACACUAGUAAAGUACACAUCAAUAACAUGUAUAUCAAAUAUACCUUUGUUCACUUUUCCAUCAUUCUUACCCGCCAAGUAUUUGGGGUAGUUCCAUUUCAAGUGACCAUUCCCUUUUGCAGUAGAAGCACUCAGUUUCAGGCUUAGGUCUAGCUUUGGGCUUCUUCAUGGGAGUGACAACUUGCUUGCCAUUCUUCUUGAAGUUCCCUUUCUUUCCCUUUGCACUUUUUCUUGAAACUAGUGGUCUUGUUAACCAUCAACACUUGAUGAUGUUUCUUGAUUUCUACCUUCACCGAUUUCAGCAUCGCGAAGAGCUCGAGAAUCAUUUUUGUUAUUCCUUGCAUAUUAUAGUUCAUCACGAAGUUCUAGUAGCUUGGUGAUAGUGACUAGAGAACUUUAUCAAUCACUAUGUUAUCUGGAAGACUAACUCCCACUUGAUUCAAGCGAUUGUAGUACCCAGACAUUCUGAGCACAUGCUCACUAGCUGAGCUAUUCUCCUCCAUCUUGUAGGCAACAUACUUGUUAGAGGUCCCAUACCUCUUAACACUGCAUGAGUCUGAAAUAUCAUUUUCAGCUCUUGGAACAUCUCAUAUGCUCCAUGGCAUUCAAAACAUUUUAUAAGUCCCGAUUCUAAGCCAUAAAUCAUGGUGCACUAAACUAUCAAGUAGUCAUCAUAUACCGAGCUUUGUCAAACGUUCAUAACGUCUGCAUCUGCUCCUGCAACAGGUCUGUCACCUAGCGGUGCAUCAAGGACAUAAUUAUUCUAUGCAGCAAUGAGGAUAAUCCUCAGAGCACGGACCUAGUCUGUACCAUUGCUACUAUCAUCUUUCAACUUAGUUUUCUGUAGGAACAUAUCAAAAAUAAAACAGGGGAGCUAUACGCGAGCUAAUGAUCUACAACAUAGAUAUGCAAAUACUAUCAGGACUAAGUUCAUGAUAAAUUAAAUUCAAUUAAUCAUAUUGCUUGAGAACUCCCACUUAGAUAGACAUCCCUCGAGUCAUCUAAAUGAUCACGUGACCAAAUCAACUGAACCAUGUCCGAUCAUCAUGUGAGAUGGAGUAGUCUUCACUGGUGAACAUCUCUAUGUUGAUCAUAUCUACUAUAUGAUUCACGUUCGACCUUUUGGUCUCAAUUGUUCCGAGGCCUUGUCUGUACAUGCUAGGCUCGUCAAGUUUAACCCGAGUAUUCCACACAUGCAAAACUGUCUUGCACCCGUUGUAUGUGAACGUAGAGCUUAUCACACCCGACCAUCACGUGGUGUCUCGGCACGACGAACUAUCAGAAUGGUGCAUACUCAGGGAGAACACUUAUACCUUGAAAUUUUAGGGAGGGAUCAUCUUAUAAUGCUAUCAUACUGAGCAAAAUAAGAUGCAUAAAAGAUAAACAUCACAUGUAAUCAAAAUAUGUGACAUGAUAUGGCCAUCAUCAUCUUGUGCCUUUGAUCUCCAUCUCCAAAGCACCGUCGUGAUCUCCAUCGUCACUAGCUUGACACCUUGAUCUCCAUUGUAGCGUCAUUGUCAUCUCACAAACUAUUGCUUCUACAACUAUCGCUAACACAUAGUGAUAAAGUAAAGCAAUUACAUGGCGAUUGCAUUUCAUAGAAUAAAGCAACAACCAUAAGGCUCCUGCUAGUUGCCGAGAAAUUUUACAAAACAUGAUCAUCUCAUACAAAAACAUAUAUCACAUCAUGUCUUGACCAUAUCACAACACAACAUGCCCUGCAAAAACAAGUUAGACGUCCUCUACUUUGUUGUUG
rnacentral:lncRNA from 1 species